rnacentral:lncRNA from 1 species
AUCCCUCAAACCAAGGCUCUGAUACCAACUUGUAACAACGUGAAAUUCAAAACAAAUUUUCACUUUUUAAUAACACAAUUUCAUUCAUAAAAAGAUUCCAAUUCUCAAUGUGUCGCAUAACAAAUUCAUAAAUCAUAUUCCAAGAUCAAACAUAUAAAACUCCAAUAGUGUGUACUAGUCAUGUCGGCGCCUUCUCGCGAUCCUCACUGGUACCUAAAACACAUCACACAAACACUGUAAGCACAAGGCUUAGUGAGUUCCCCAAAAUACCACAUACGACACAUAUGCCUCUCGAGGCUACAGUUCGACCCUCCGGUCGAUGUGUCUCAGCGGGACCCUCCAUUCCUGUAGCUCGUUGGACCAUCUGGUCCGGUCAUAGCUCGUUGGGCCGUUCGGCCCGGUCUGUAUCGUUGGACCCUUCGGUCCGGUCUAUAUCGUUGGACCCCCCGGUCCGGUAUAUACAAUCACAUAGCAUACAUAUAUCACAUUGCACAUAAUCUCAUACAUACACAUAGCACACAAGACCCCCACCCCCCGGUCUACACAAAUAUACCACUCUAAGUAAUGUAUAGUGAGAAGACUCACCUCGGGUAUCUCGGAUAAUCUCGCACUCGAACACACUAGUCUAGCCCCCGCCUAAAUACAUAACAACAUUCUCAAAUAAGUAAUGGCUAUCAAAGGCUAGAUUAGAUCCACUCUACAAUUCCACAGAAGGGAAAAAGACCAUUUUACCCUUCCCUAACCCUGAAAGUCCAAAGGUUGACCAAAACCCUAAAAGUCAACGGAAGUCAACAAAAGGCAGUACGCGGCGCAUACCCUCUCUAUACGCGGUGCGUACGCCGGCGAGUCACAAACGGGGUCUCAACCCCUUACGCUGCGCAUACUGAGAGUUACGCCCAACGUAAGUCUCAGUUUCAACCUUUCCUUGAUUUUUUGUCUUAAACGGUUAAGACACUCAUUCAAAUUUCAGAUCUAACUCAUUCUAGACCUCUUAUCCCAUAAAGUCGGAACCUUUAAGCCUUUGCAUGGCUAUAAAGGUCCUUACACCCUCUAACACUUCUCCUUUCUCCUCAAAAGGUCUAGAUCUCAUGCAUGGCUCAAUAUCCACGUCCAAGAUUGCAUUUUUAUGAUCAUAAAACCCUUAAAGUCCUGAAAUAUGAUAGAUCUAGGCCAAUGGAGACUAUUUGCUCAUAAAGUUUCCAUCUUGGGACCAAAAACCCUAAAUAUUGGUCCAAGAAGCACACAACACAAAUGACAAGCCAAGAUUUGAGCUUUUUACCUUAGGAAGAAGCUCCAACCUUUAAAAAGCUCAGAUCUACUCUUGCUCACAAUUUCUAGUCUCCAAAAUGGCCUCUACUUCUCUUCCACCACCUUGAAAUGACACUUAGAAGCUUAGAACACCAACACACAAGCUAGAAACGAAGGAGAACUCUCUAUUAGGGUUUCACUCUCUGGAAUGGGGGCUAAGGUCCAGGCCAUAGCAUUCCUUUUAUAGUGCACAAGCCCCAAAUUAGGGUUUUCAGCUGGACUCAUUACACCCAGCGUAACCCUGGGUAUGCCCAGCGUACCCAAGUGAGUCCGCAUCCAAAAUAAGCGCGCGAGUACGCGCAGUGUACUCUUUUGUAUGCCCAGCAUACUCACAAGCCUAACAAUUCAUUUGAAGGCUUAACUUGACAACUUGGGAAAAGAAGAAGGGCUUAAGAAACACACCUGAAUUCGGGAUGUUACAUCAUGCAUGAGAUCUAAGCUUUAUGAGGAAAGAGGAGAGGUGUUAGAGUGAUUAGUGACCUUUACAGCCAUGCAAAGGCUUAAAGGUUCCGACUUUAUGGAAUAUGAGGCUUAGGGGAAGUCAGAUCUGAAAGUUGGAUGAGUGUCUUAACCGUUUAAGACCCAAAGAUCAAAAGAACAUAAAACUGGGAGUUACGCGGGGCGUAAUCCCAGUACGCGCAGCGUAAGGGGCCGCGUACCCCGAUUCUAUGAGUGGUCGGGUACGCCCAACAUACAGUUUUGGUACGCGCAGCGUAACCCGGAGGGUUGACUCUUGGUUGGCUUUUAGGGUUUAGUCAAUGGUUAGAUCUUUGAGUCAUAAGAGGGGUAAAAUGGUCUUUUACCCUUCUGAGAGAACUUAGAGAGAGUUUAGUCUACCCUUUGAGAGUUAUAUUGAUUAGAGUAAUUAUUCCAUGUGAUUAGGUAGAGGCUAGACCAGAUUUACCGAGUUUGAGAUUUACCAAGUUACCCGAGGUGAGUCUUCUCACUAUACUGUACCUGAAAGGGUACCUAUGUGUGACCGAAAGGUCUUAUAUGCUAUGAGAUGUAUGUGUUAUAUGUUGAUAUGUGAUAUGUAUGUUAUGUAUGAUAAGGACCGAAAGGUCAAGAUGAUAUGGACCGGAAGGUCAAGAUGACAUGGACUGGAAGGUCAGGAGGUUACGGACCGGAAGGUCGAUACGGGUAGGACUGGAAGGUCUACCGGGAUUCAGGACGGAAGUCCCCUAAGACACUUGGACCGGAAGGGCCCAUAGAGUUAUGGCCUGGAAAGGCGUAUGUGUUGUAUGUGGUAUUUUGGGGAACUCGCUAAGCAUUUAUGCUUACAGUUGUUGUGUUAUGUGUUUCAGGUACUAGCGAGGAUCGCGGGAAGGCACCAGCAUGAUCCGUACUUACUCAUAGAGAUUAUGUUUGAGAUUUUGGGUAUUGUUUGUUAUGAUAACAUUGGAUACAUUAUGUUUUGAUAUUGUUUUUGAUGAUUAAAAGUAUAAUUUAAAAAUGAAAAAUUGUUUGAAAUUUUAUGUCGUUACAUCAUCAUAAUGUAAUUUCUUUUGAAACAUGUAUUACAAUCAACAAUGUAACUUUUUAAAUUAUAUUUAUGAUGGUUGUGUUUGUUUUCUUUACUAUUUACUCAACUGUUAUGAUACUACAUGAAGUCAUCCGCCCUCGAACAAUUCCGACGUUCUGGUUUGGGGUGUGACAAUUUCUAAACAAGAGUCACCUCUUCUCAGAACAUGUCAAUAUGGUCCUUCCAAAAUUGUACUAUACUUCCAAUUGUCCAUAAGCAACCAAUCUUUGGUAAAACUUAGAUUGUCCUCGAUAAUUGCUUAACCAUUUUAGUCAUAUCUCGUUCUAGUCCCUUCUUCCAUCUUAAUGCCUAGGCAUUUGGAAAACUAGAACAUAUAUUAUAGCAUAUGUAACCAAUCCUAUAUACCAAGCAUAUGGGGUUCGAUACAUAAUGUCUUACAUAGGGACAUGAUCCUUUUUCAGUCUCUUGCUACAAUAUUUCCAUAUAUAGAAUUUCCUUAUGUUGAAUCAUUUCAACAUAACAUUCAUAUAUUUCCAUGACUAAGUUCUAUUAAAAUUUCAAUCUAAGCUUUUAGAUUUGAAAUGUAGUAUGAGUAUCCUCUCCCUAUAACUUUUCGUAGCGAAAUAACAUUUAAACUUGCAACUUUGCAAUUUGUAACUUUUGUUUCCUAUAAAUAGUAUUACAACCUGGCAAUACUUAGUAUAAUAGUUUGGCUCCCACUAGCUUAACAAUUAUACUCCUUCUAGCAUAACAAUUUUGCUUACUUUAGCACAAUCCUUAUGCUCCCACUAGCCUUGACAUGUACCCAAAAAUCAGCUGGACUUCUAGAAAUCAAUACUUAUUGACUUUCUUACCAAAGUUCAGAUUUCUGAUACGUGGUGCUUCAUUAAGUCUUUGCCUAGACUUCUCAAGCUUAUACACCUUUCAGAUUAAAUAGCACAAGUCUGUGUUUGAACCUUUUAGAACUUAAAACAAUAAGUCUCAAAUGUUAAAACUAUUUGCCAAUUUCUCACAAGUCGAACUAUCAAAAGGGAAGUUGUAAUCAUACUCAAAUUUGAGAACACAAUUAUCACAACUGCUAAUUCUAAUCCUUUAAAAUCUACUAGUGAAAACGUUUCCUUACUUUUCAUGAAGUGGAGAGAAACCUUUUGCCACUUAGAUUUAAUGGUGUAUGUGUUCCUAUCCAUAUAAAUUUGUCAUUUCCAUCCACUAUCAUAAGGUUUAUGACAAAUUCAAACUCAUAUAGACUAAACUUGUUCAAUUUUAAUUUCUUGCCAUCAGGUAGCACUAGGGCCUACAAUUACUUCCAGGUUGUUGAGCAGCCCACCUAUACAGAUUAAUGCACUUUCCGUUGAUCAAGGUGCAUUGCCUUAUGCAUUCAAAUGAGAACUCAUAGAACUCAUAUACAUAGUCAACUUAACUGGAAUGGGCAUAGAAAUAAGAAUAUGUCAAUCACGAUAGGUUGUAAACCUCAGAUCGCAUGCUAGUGAUAACUUAAAUGGUUUAUUCUUGAUUAGUACUUGAAACUAUUCAAGACUAUUAAGACUCCCACUGUCCUCUUGACAUAUAAUGUUCUUUUUUUUUAGGAAACAUUCUUUAACAAACAAAUACUCAAGAGUUAGUUUGAGAUCCUAUCAAAACAACACUUCAUGUAAUUGGUCUUAGUUGGUCUUUGUUUAUCCAAAACAUCACAACUACCAAGUUUUAAAUGUGCAAAAAGUAAAACAUUUCUACCCCACAUGUCAUGAUGUGUUAUAAAACUACUUAUAACAUGUUACUCAAGGCACAACUUGAUGCAACUAGAUUAUGACUUAUAAUCUUCAUUUUGGAACAAAGUAUCAUUCAUCUUCUUGAUUUAACCAUUUCAAUAAUUUCUGAUUCCUCUUCUUAGCUAUGCAAGUGCACUAAGGUGUCCUUAGAGGAUCAAUUGAGACAUGGUUCCAUAAUCAAUAGGACGGUCAUAAAACACGAUACUAAAGUUCUCUCCUUUCCUUUCAGAUUGGAGAAACCUGUUAUCUUUCUGCCCAAUUUGAUUCUUCUUAUUCGUUCUACUAUAUAUUGAAACUUUUCAAUACAUCAGAAUUACACUCAAUCCUGUAAGUAUAAUCAUAUUUACUGAUCUUUCAGUAAAGCGUGACAAUCAGACUUUAUCGUCCUUUGUGGUGGAUUUGACCAGUGCACAUCAAUAUGUACUAGAUCCUUUGGUCUUUCACUUGACUUACAUAAAGAUAUGUAAACAAGGACUUAGUCCCAAUUUUCCCAAGUAUCAAGAUUUUCAUACAUCACAAAAUUCAUAUCGCAUGACUCCAAGUUUUUUGUCCAAUUGAAACUUGGGCGAUGAGAAUCUUUCCUUACUUAGAAAAUUACAACAUUUCCACAAUCGAUAUAAUUAAGAAUCAAACAUUUUCAACAUUGCUAUUAAUAGAAACAUACAAACAACAAUUUUCACUAAUGUCAUUGCAAGGAAACAAAAAAUAAGACAAAAUCAAAAUUUUCUUUAUUUAUAAAAAGUUUGGAAAGCUUGUCCUAACAACACAAAUACAAAUGAAAACCAUGUUUCUAAAUAUUCCUCAGCAAUCUAUCAUAACUCCUAAGUAGCAGAUCAAAAAUCUGAUCCUCGAACCAUGCGAUCGAAAUCCAUCUCUUCACGAUCAGACUCAACUUACUCUUCCUUUAAGUUUCCUUUCUUUUUCUUCGAUCCUACAAAACAUCAAAAUGCAAUCUUAUCACAUCAUGUAUUAAGAAUCUAUAAAUAGGAACUUAAUAGAGUUAGAUAGUGAACUUACCUAAAGUAGAGUCAUACAUUUUGACUUUACCAUCCUUACGAUCCUUCAGGUAGAUACGGCAGCAUCGCAUCCAAUGCCCCUUCUCCUGGAAAUAGAAACAUAUAGACUCUUUUGGAAUGACACAAGGGACUAUCUCAUAAUUUACCUUUCUCUUAUGAUCAAACUUUUCAACCAUGGCUGAUUCUUUCCCUUAAGAGAAGAAAUCUUUUCUGGACUAUUUUUUUCAUUGCCUAUGUCCAUGGCAAUUUGGGAAGUAGAUCUUCCAAGAAAAUUUGCUUUACCAGUACGCCAAAUCAUUGAUAAUUCAGCAGCAAUUAGCAAAUAUGUCAGAUUAAUGAGGGUCACAUCGUGGUCUGUCAUAUAGUAAUAUUUUACGAACUCAAUAUACGACUCAGGAAGUGACUGAAAAACCAGGUCAACUGCCAGCUUCCUUAGGAAGACGACACCCAACAUCCCCAGCCUAUCAAUGUGUGACUUCAUCUCGAGGACGUGUGCAUACACAAAAUUUUCAUCUUCAUGUUUCCUUGCCAAUAGGUCUUGAAUAACCUUGAACUUUUCAAGACGACAAAAAUGUGGGUCAGGGAGAAUUACUGGAGGAGGUGGGAGAAAUGAAGUAUGAUUUCUAGUUCCACCAGUGCAUGGCAAAAGGAUUGGUCUUUCACCUUGAUCGCUACAUGGAAUAUCAUCUUCAUUAUGAAAUCUUUUUUCAAAAGAAUAAGGAAGACCAUAGUUGUCAAAACAUGACAUCUAUAAGGGGAGUAAUUCAAGUGAGUUGAUUUAAUCCUUAAUAUAACACCCAAAAUGAAAUAUUAAGGCUAUGACCCUACAUAAUAAUUCACAAUUCAGAAGAAGGAUGUCGUAAUCUAAAUUGCAUAUUAUUUGUAGGUACGUAAAUGACGAUUUACCAAUUCCACCACGAAAACAAAACUUAAGCUAAUUAGGUUUUAGAUGAAACUCCUAGAUCUUUUGAGAUUCAUUGAACUUUUCAAUGGCAUGUUUAAUCUCGAUUAUUGUGACAUCCCCAAAUUCACGGUCAGAAAAGACCGACUUGUUUAUGAUUUGUUUUUAAAUCAGAGUAAUCGUUUAAAGAAAAUUGUUGCGGAGUUUGUUCCCAGAAAACAUGAUAGAUACUUUAUCAAAGCGUUUCUGAAGAAAUGUAUUUUAUUCAUUUUAAAACAUUUGGGAUUGUCCUGGUCAAUACAGACACAUAAACAUAAAUAGAACUUACAUUUAUUUACACUAAUGAUUUACAUCUCCUUUAAUCUCUCAGUGAAAUAUGUCUUCGUAUCGAUACCUGUGAUACAAAGAAAACUGAGUGGGUCAGGCUUGGGAGCCUGAUGAGCAUAUAGGGUUUUCAACCCACAAUGUUAUAUAUAUUAUAACUCACAAACAUUUAUAAUUUCACUAUAUAAAGGCAACUCUUAUCCUACCCNAUAUAUAUUUAUAUAUAUUAGAACUCACAAACUUAUACAAUUUCACCAUAUAUAAGCAACUCUUAUCCCACCCCAUCGAUCCUCAUGACGACACGAUCUAUACUCUUAUAUCUAAAAUUUAUCUUUUUACAUAAUCCAUACUCACGGAUCUAAAACUAACCUCUCUACCUAAUCCAUACUACCGGAUCUGGUAGAUAUCUUAUGCGUACUCCCGGAUCAAUAACUGUGCCUAUUCCAUACUCUCAGACUAGGGACAAUUAACUAUGUCUUAAUCCAUACUCCCAUAUUAAUAACAAGUUUAUCUCGUUUAUUGACAGUAUCGUUUUCGAGACCCCUCUCACAAUACAUGUCAAUGAGUUUUUAGAGUACACCGGUUAACUUCAAGUUCACAACACCCAUAAGUUGCGAGCUUGCUAGUGUCCCACUGGACUGUCUAGAAUAGUCCGUAGUUGUCAUCCCUACUCUGCUGAAUGACAGGGCCAUCACUUGGGUAAAGGUUUCACUCAUUUUUCACCUGUCACCCUCUUCUCAAGAUCUAUAUCACCUCUUUGUCUCAUCAUCCAACUCAUCUUUUAUUACACACCAACUAUUUCAUCUACCCAUGUCCUACCCAACAUAUUUGUAGAUAUAAAAUAUAUAUACAGUUUAACUCAUUUAAAAUCUAUAUAAAACAUCCAUCAUACCCAUCUCAAAUAAACAAACAAUAUAUAUAACACAUAGCACGUAUUUCAUAGAAAAUACUUCAUAUUUAUGUGUUGGAAGAAAGUAACUACACACUCACUUGAUUAGACGAUUCUCGGACAACACUACGACUCUUUAAGUACUAUUCUUUGAUGUAACCGGGAUAUCUUCCAAAAACUAGGCUUCAUGCGGGCAAAGUUUCGGCUCGAAACUAUUUUCUUCUCGGGGUCUUCGAGCUCCGGGACUUGCUUCGGGUGUCGGGAUGAUAUUGGGGCUUUGGGGGUAUAACUUUCACAUAAAACGAGGUAAUAGGGAGUGGAGGAAAGAAAAGUAGCAACAAAACCCGAGAGUCUUGCACUCAAUUUAUAGGGCUGGGAAGAGGCCCGAACGCGGGGCAUUCCAUGGGGGAACGCAGGGCGUUCCCACAUACGUCAUGAUAUACGAACUUCGGACUCGACAAGCGACGGGACAGGCUCUGGGCUCCGAAUGCGGGGCAUUCCCUGGAGGAACGCAAGGCGUUCCCUCAGACCAGCCUCGAAGUUUGUGCCCCAAUCUUUGAAAUUCCGUAACUUUUGCGUACGAGCUCCGUUUUUGACGUUAUUUAUAUCCACGCGUAGGUGAGAUUAUGCUCUACAACUCUCGUUUAGACUAGAUUGGCUAAUUUCGACUUUAUUUUUAAUAUUAUAUUUUUAACAAGCCGGGACUGGAAAAGUCCGUUAAAAAUCCAUAAUUUCUUCAUCCGACGUCCGUUUUCGUCUGUCUUUUUACCGUUGUACUACUAAUGACGAGACCUUCAAGUCACGUUUAGGUUGCGUCAGCUAAAAGUCGCUCGAUCUCUAUUUCAAGUUUUUAGCUGUCCACCGUUAUAUUCGAAACUUAGAAAAAUCAUAAUUUCCUCGUAUGAAGUUAGAUUUAGACGUUCUUUUUAUGUAUGUUUACGGUUUAAUGAUAUCUACGACUUUCAUUUAGAUACCUAAGGCUAAAAAUCGCUCCAUCGUAAAUUCACUAUUUACGUAGCACUGUGACGUACCGGUUCUGUCGCGGAACUUCGACAUGUCAUAACUUCUUUGUUAUAACUCAGAUUUCAGCGUUCUUUAUAUGUACGGAAUCCUUGUAACAUAUACUACAACUUAGUUUAAGAUUAAUCCUUCUAAAUAACCUUCCAUCAAAAAGUCAUUUUUGACGCCCAUUGUCCUUAAAUUAACUACCCCUGAUCUAUAGGCGUUACAAUUAUGCCCUUCAAGUUUGUGACUGGGAUAUAGAGGAUCACAAACAAGGUGUGAAUAACCAUGCAAAUUAGCUUGGUACUCUCGAUGACCUCUAUCACCUAAUCAAUGUGUCGGUUAACCAUACACGCUCCAUUGAUCUAUAAUAAUCUAUGAGCUACCCAUUGCCAUCCUACAUUAGUUCUAGAUUAGUGUGCUGAUGUAACGACCCAAAAAUCACGACUAAAAAUUUCCUUUAAAACAUUACUAAAACCAUAUUUAUAAAACCAUAUCAUAAGUCAUUACAUAAAUUCGGAGUAUCAAUUCAAAACAUGUUCUUAUUAUCAGAGUAAACAUCCCAGGCUGACUAACUAUGGUGUGUGCCAUGCGAUCAGCCUGAGCUCUUCCCUCCGCUACCGAAAGUACCUAAAACCAAAACUGAAAACUAUAAGCAUGAAUCUUAGUGAGUUCCCCAAUCUCCCACAUACCAUACAUAAUCACAUACUGCAAGCAUUGGGCCACACCCGCUACUUUGGGCCCCGCCCGCUACAACAGGCCCCGCCUGGCUUCGAGCCCCGUUCGGUGUACAUAUCUGUUUCUCUUAGGCCCUGCCUGUCUCUGGGCCCCCGCUCACUAACAUAUACUAACAUACAAUCAUAUCAUAACACAUAAACUGAACAUAUACUACUGGAUUCCUGUUAUAAGGCCUCGCCUAUCUUGGGCCCCGCCCCUGUCCUACUACUGAUGAGUCAUGGAACCCCGUCCAUGCUUCUACUGAUAUUGAGAUACGGGCCCAUCCCACACUCACUCCCUUCCUACCUGGGGCCUCGCCCUGCUCUGCUGCUAAUGAGAUAUGGAACACAGUCCACACUAUGUUAUUAGUAAGAUACGGGACCUCGCCCACACUCACCUCCCUACCAGGCACAUACAUGUAUCACACAGACAACAAGUAUAAACUAUCAUGUAAACCGUUCCUUGGGCACCCGCCCGCUAACAUUGGACCUUGGUCCUAAUUAUCAUACUAGCAUACAGUACCUAGUGCUAACCCCUGGGUCUUCCUACUCAUAACUACAUGGGCCGACAUUGUGGUCGUAGACCCAUCCACACAAAGGGAAAACUCGCUUGCACUGCUGAACUUUAUUGAUAGCCCUCUGCUGCUAACUGGAACUUCCCCGAUUGCUACUUCUUUGGCUCCCCGAGCUACCAAGAUCACAAUAUCACUUAGCCCGAUAUCAUAGUCACUCUCAGGGUAAAAUGACCAUUUUACCCCUACCCCAUAAUGGUCCAUAACUAGGGCCCAAAACAUAAUAUAAAAAAAAGCCCAACACUAGGUAGGCUUCCCAAGCCCACUAUUGGCCUAUCAAUGGCCCAGUUUGCUACAUUGGGCCCAAUCCCUUUACUGGGCUUUACCCUAAGCCCAACACAUAUACUUGGCCCAUAAUCACUGACUCCUGAUGGCCCACUAAGGCCCAAAUCCUAUAGUCCAAAGCACAGCCCACACCGAGGCCCAAAUGCUCAAGGCCCAAACCUAACAGCGUACGCGGGGCGUACUUCUAGGUAUGCUGAGCGUACUGGCUGAUGGCUUGUACGCCGUUCGUACCUCUUUGUACGGCCAACGUACAACCCUGUUAAGUCAACUUUAUAUUAAGUGCUUAAUACCACGAUUCAGAAGCUACAAACUCAAAUCCAAGUCUUAUUCCAUGUCUUAAACCAUAAAGUUGCUUACUUGAUGGCUUACAACCCACCAAAAACGCCCAAACUUGAAAUGUGACAAUAUACUUUCAUGAAAAUGGCUAAAUCUCAUGCAUGAACCCAUUAAGACACACAAUAUGGCAACUUUCUGCCUUGGGACUUAUUUAGAACAAAGAAUGGCAACUCAAGGCCUAACAAAACAUGUUGAGUCAUAAAGGUCCAAUCUUGGGACCUAGAAGGUCCAAAAACUCAUCCUCUGGGAGAUCUAAGAGAAUAUUUUCAAGCUCAAGACUUUAUACCUUGAAAAGGUCUGCAAAGAGGCAAAAGUCCCAGAUCUACAACUCCUUCUUUGAUCCACCACCUUGCUUGCUUCUUCUUUGCUUGGAAAAUGGUCCUAUAACACCAAGAUGCUCACUAAUGGCCACCAAAGAUUCAAGAACACUUAAGGGAGGAUUACAGUUUUGUGGUAGCUGUCUUAGGAUGAGAGGGAGGCUGAUAUCUAGGGAUUAUAUUCCUUAUAUAGUAGCAUACCCUAAAAAUUAGGGUUUAGUGAGUCUAAGCGUACAUUGUGUGUACCUACAUAUACGCUGGGCAUAUGCCUCUCCGCACCCGCGUUCACUUCCCCUUCUACGCUGGGCAUACCUAGCUACUUUACGUGCAUGCAUAGCACAACCUUGUCAUAAUUCCUUAUUAGGGACUAUUAUUGGCAACAUUUUCAAAGUGUCACCACUUCUUCGUUCUGAGUCUGUUUCCGACGAACUUUAUAUCCAUGAAAAGGUGGCGAGAAGCCCUACGCUUCUAGCAACACACUCCGGUCCGAAACUUUCCCAAAUAACCUCAAAGCCCAUAAAAGACCAAAACGCCCCUAGCCUUGGCCUCUGAAAUCCAUAACGAACACUUUUUAGAAUAGGGUGUUACAGCUGGUUAACCACACACGCUCCACUAACGACCAAUAAGGUGCAAUGUGCAAUUUCAUGGAUUAGCACUAAAUUCAUAUUUUUUUCCUAAAGUAACUAAGAUUGUGAAUUAAUAAAACAUUUAGUUAUUUUAUAUAUUCAUUAUACUUAUAAUGAGGUGUCCUAUCAAACCCGUUCGGCUAACGACAAUCCACUGGUCAAGAGUGCGGUGGGUAAGAGUGGAUACCCAAUGGCGAUCAUUUUACAAGCCGCUUACUUAAACACCCCUUAUAGACCAGCUUCGUGAAUGAGGCCUACUAACGGUAAGACUGACUUUUAUCUUAUACAUAUAAUAUAUUAGACUUUUAAUUUUAUAUAGUAUAAUGGUGUAUUUUAUACAUUUAAAAUACUAAGGUUUAAUCUUUAAUAAAUUAGACUCUUAAUUUAAUUAGACAUAAACCUAUCCAUGGACUUAUUAAUUGUCUUUUAAUUAAAACACUUAAUUAAUUAAUUAAUUGAAUCCAUGAGGGUGUAAUUUAAACUUUUAAAAAAAUACCAAGGUUCUAAAUUUAAGAUUUCAAAAUUAAAUCUAUUUAAUCAAAUUUUAAAUUACAAAACCAUGAGGGUGUAUUUUUAAACUGUUUAAAUUACUAGGGCUUAACUAUUUAAAUUACCAAAAAGAAUUAAAACUUUUAAUUUCAAAUUUAAACUAUAAAACCAUAAAGGGCAAUUUGAAACUUUUCAAAUUCUAGGUAAAUCUUUGAAUCAAAAUAAUCUUAUAUUAUCCAUACUUAACCAAAUCCAUUAAUUUUGAUAAGGAUAUCACAUACCAAUAAGAAAAAUCGAAUUUAGGCAUUAAAAACGAGUUAUGGUAACUAUCCAAAUCAAAAAACUGAUCAAAAAGUCGAAAAACUCGGCACCGGACGAGUUGACUCGUCGAGUUGGGCAAGGGACUCGUCGAGUUCACCCAACUCGUCAAGCCUAGAGAUGAACUCGUCGAGUCUGGCUGACAAACAACAAAAUUUAGAUUUCUUGAUCCUUUUGGCGGUCCACUAUUGCACCAAUUCAAUUGAAAAACAACCUAGGCUCUGAUACCACUGAUGGGUUUUGAGCAUUAAAAUAUUCCUAUGGUGUACAUGCAACCUUAAUGCUUUGGAUCUAUGCUUUUAUCUAUUGAACAUGCAAAUUGAAUACCAAAGCAUAGAACCCUAAGACUAGCAUACAAUAAUCAAAAUUCAUAAGAAAUUAGGGUUUGAAACAUUACCUCACUUGUUAUAUUGUAAUAACAAGAAAGCGUUGUCCUUUGAAAGCUUAGUGCCCCAAGUGUUGCACCUCUAAUGGAGUCACAAACACUCUUGCAAAGGAAGAAUUGGAGAGAGGUGGAAAUUCGGCUCGAUUCUCUUAGGAUAGCAUAGGGGCCGAAAUUCCUUAUGUUAGGAAGGUUUAUAUAGUUGAGGCUAUUAGGGUUUUCAGGUGGAAACCCUAAUUCCCUUGCUUAGACCUUAAGCAAUCCAUGGACCCCCAUAUGACAGGCCCUGGGACGAAAACUCUUUGGGCUUCCCAUAGAUUUUCUUCCACCCCAUAUCAAUAAGGUUCAUUAGCCCAAACUAUAACUAUUACUGAUUUACGUAAUCAGUCCCUUGUUUAUUAAUCAGUUCCUUUAAUCCCAAAAUAAAUACUAGAGUAAGUUAUGAUUAAUUACUAAUUAAUAAUAUGAUUUCCAAAUAAUAUAUCAAUCUUUUAAUAUAUUAAUAAAACCAUUUUGAGUACGAAAGCCUUGCCGUACACGGGUUUUAAGUAAUGGACUCGUCGAGUCGGUCAAGGGAACUCAAUGAGUUGCCCCUGUUUUCAGAAAUCUAUAUAAAGGACAAUAUUGCCCGAGACCCUAAGGGUGCGUUUGGUAGUGGAAAAUUUUCUAGUUUUCUAGGAAAUUUUUCCAAGAAAAAUGGAAAUUUUGAAAACGCGUUUGGUUCGUUUAGUUUUCCAAGGUUUUCUAAGAAAAUGAAAAUUUUUUAGUUUUCCAAAUUGUAUGUAAAUUAGAAAAGUGAUUUUUACAGUUUUCCAAAUUUCUAAGAUGGAAAAUGAAAACUCCACCCGUUCCAACCAAACACGUUUUCAUUGAAAAUUGAAAAUGAAAACUCAACCCUAGAAAACAUUUUCAUAGAAAAUGAAAACAGUUUUCCACAACCAAAUGCACCCUAAGCUUUUCUAGAGAUUUUUGGGCAACUAAUUGGCGAUUAGAAGGGUUCUUAGAUCUGUGGUUUUUGGAAGUUCAACCUAGAGAUCAAUUUGGAGGAGAUCAAAGGUAAUAUACAUAAUCUUUUCUUAAUCUUUUGCAUAAACUAUGUUUCAAUCAUUAGAUUUCGUUUUUUAGAUGUUAUUUAUUGUAGAUAUGAGCUAAAACUAAUUACUUCUGUUUAUGCUAGAUAAACUUAUGAAUAUGGUUUGAUUUUAUGGUUUGGAUUAAAUUGACUUGGUGAAUUGUCUUGUUAAGCUUGUUAAAGAUCCUUAUGUGUUGAUAGCAAUUAUUUUCUUUUAAUAACUAAAUUGUUAAGUUACAUGAACAUCUUCUGAAUUACUUGAAUCAUAUAAUUUUGUGAACACAAUAUUGUAUGCCUAGUAUUAGUGACCAUGAACCUAGGAUUAACUAGAAAAUAAGUACAUUAAUGUGUAAGCAUGUAUGAUGAACAACCAUACAUGAGUUGAUUGAAUUACCAGAUUUAAUUAGCUAAUAUUACAAAUCUUACUUGAUCCAAAUCAAAACACGAGGAAACCUGUUAGUUUAACCAAUUGGCCACUAUUUGAAUUAACCUGUUUGCUAAGGAUUAGUAAUAAUGAACAUGAACCUAAUCACAUUAAUCGGUAACCAAUGAUAUGUUACUCCAUUGCACUUGCCAUAAAAUCAACCAUAGGAAUAAGUGAGUCGAACCUGAAUAAAAGUCUUUUUUAUUAUUGAAUUUAGUUACCUUCUAUUUGCUUAGUUGUUAAUUGCCUUUGUUUAAGUGUUAGUUAAUUGCUUAAGUUUCUAGUCUUGCAAAACUAGAGAAGAUCCUUCUUUUUAUUGCUUGUUUUUAUUUAGACAAAUCUAGUAGUUAACUUAAUUGUUAUCGUUCCCUGUGUUCGAUACCCUACUUGCUUGAACUAUAUUGCUAAUCGAUAGGUACACUACCUUUCGUGUGUUUAUUUUGUGUUUGAAGUAGUAGGAUUAAAACUAGUGCAUUUUACACAUAUCAAGUUUUUGGCGCCGUUGUCGGUAAACGAUUCUAAUAGUUAUUUUAAUUUCUAGUGUUAUCGAUCCUUUGUGUAAGAUUUAUCUUGCACAAAGUUACUAUUUUCGCUAACUAGUUACUAAGCUUAAGUUCUAGUUUUUCUAUUUUUAAAAUUUUUGUUUUAGUUUUCUGUUUUAGCCUUGAACUCUUCAAGUCCAGUCGAAGCAACUCGACGAGUCCAUUUUGUUUUUCAUUUUCAUUUUUUUCAUUUUGUUCUUUUUACAUGUGUUUUUUUAUUGCAGUUCGUUUAUGACCCGAGGAUCAGGCACACCUUUGAUCCCACCACUUGAAAACCUGAAAUCAGCUCUUAAGAAGAACAAAGACAAAACCUUAGAAUCAGAGUACGAAAUAGAAUCUGAACAAGAAAGCGAGCCCGAAAGCGAACCUGAUAACACCAUGGCUAACAUCACAGACAUGUCCAUGGGCAAAUGGAAAAGAAGGAUGUGUGACGAUACCGGCCCAUGACUCCUGCAAUCCGCUAUUCCAGCAAUUGCCAACUUUGAGCUAAAAGGUCACAUACUUGCAUAACUCAAGAACAUCCCAUUCUAUGGGAAAGAUCAUGAAGAUGCAUACAAGCAUCUCGACGAGGUCAAUGACAUAGCCGACUACUUCAACACCCCUAAUGUACCUCGCGAUACUGUUUUACUUCGUAUGCUACCGGUCACAUUUAAGGGAGCCGCGAAAGAUUGGCUGAAAUCACUCCCUCCAGGAUCCAUCACGACAUGGGCGAAGAUGCGUGAAGAGUUCAUUGAUCAAUUUUGCCCUCCCUUAAAAAUAGCAAAGUUGAAAAAAGCCAUUGCAAAUUUCGAGCAACAAGCAGCCAAGUCACUCUAUAAGGUGUGGGAAAGAUACAAAGGCUUGUUGAGGAACUGCCCUUACAAUGAUCUAAACAUUCAACAAGAAGUCUCCAUUUUCUAUGAUGGAGUUAACGUGACAACUAGGCAGCUCCUUGACUCGCAAGGACCACUCAUGAAGAAAGCACCCACGGCUAUAACUGAGUUAAUUGAAGAAUUCUCUAAGCAUUCUAGAGAAUAUCAUAACCCAAGGAAUGACUCAACUCGAGGGGUGGUGAAUUCUAUUUCAGAUGACAUGGUGGCGAUGAUGGAAAAGUUGGAAAGCACGGAUCGUAGAAUGACUAAGAUGGACCAAUCCAUCCAUGCUAUUAGAGUGGGAUGUGAUAACUGAAGAUGGCCUUGUUGGAUUAGUGUCUAAGUCCAUAACUAUUUUGGUAUGUACUUGACUCGAUGGUGCAUGGUCCUUUUGGGUUGCCUUCACCAAAGCAACUUGAUAGGAUGAAUUAUGAAGAGAAAUGAUUAAUUGUGAUUUAUUAAUAUAUUAUGAGAAUAAUAUAUUAAAGGAGAAAUCAUAUUGUUUAAUUAAUAUUAGUCAAGAAUUAAUUGAUAAUUAAUUUUGUGGCUAAAAGAGAUUAAUUAAACUUAAGGGAUUGGAACUGUAAUUAUAAGAUAAUUGCAUUUGGGCUAUGUAUCACCUUGGAAUAAUAGGUUGGACGAGCUGGGGAAACCCAUUAGAAAUUGUCCAAGGGAUAUUCUAAAAAGGUCCAUGGGCUGCUUAGGGCUUAAGCAGUCAAAUUAGGGUUUCCUAGUUGAAAACCCUAAUAGCCUACAUGUAUAUAUAGUACCCUUAAACCCCAAAAACGUGAAAGAAAAGAGUUCCACUAGGGUUUCUGGAUGUUUUUGGGUAGCCUCCUCUCUCCUUAUUUUUCAUCCUCUUGCUCUUGGUGUUUGUGAGCCAUUAGAGGAGUGACACUUGUGACUCUAAGCUUUCUAAAGCCUUUACAAGGAGGAUUUGAGAUUGUUAUUGCUACAUAACAAUCAAGGUAAGAUCUAAACCCCAUUUAUAAGUUAAUAUGAUUAAUUGUAUGCUAGAUCUAGGGUUUAAAGUCUUGGAUGAAUUGCAUGUUCAAUAGGGAAACCUAGAUCCAAGCAUUAGGGUUUGCAUGAGCACAUAGGAUGUUCUUAUGGCUUAAACGCAUCAGGCCUCACCUUACUAAAGAUUGUGAUCUUGACGAGAACAGGAACUGAAAGUGCAAGUGUGUUAUUCAAGUGGCGAUAGAUAUGAUGAGGAUAGGCAAAAACCCAAGAAGGAAUGGCUACCGUAUGAUGAGUACAAGAAGGCAAAGGUGGAAAGGUAUAGCGAAAAGGUAAGAGGUUUUUAUCAAAAGGAGGAGCCAAUGCAAGAAAAUAUGAUGAAUGAGAAAUUUCAUAUUUGGAAAUUAGACUAACUCGUUGAGAAAGUGUCAAGUGAAGGACUAGGAGAUCGAGUACACAAGGUUGUGUGUUGAUCAAGUCCACCACAAGAGUAACAAAGAUAUUUGUCAUGAUUUACUAAGGUUAAGUAAAUAUGAUUAUACUUAUGAGAUUAAGUGUAAUUCUCAAUUAAUUCAAAGAGUUUCAAUAAAUAGCAGAACAAAUAAUGAAGAAUCAAGUAGGCAGAAAUAUAAAAGUUUCUCUAUUCUAAGAAGAAGGGAGAGUACUUUUAUUAUGUUUUAUGAUAGGUCUUAAUGAUUAAGAACCAUAUCUCAAUUGAUCCUCUAAGUGAGUCUUAGUGCAAUUGUAUGUCUGAGAAGAGGAAUCAAGAAUUGAAGAAAUGGUUAAAUCAAGAAGUCAAUCAUACUUCGUUCCAAAAUCAAGUCUCAAAGUUAAGAUUGUGAAUUGAGUGACAAGUCUCAAGAAGGUUUAUAACAUUCAUCAAAUGUGGAAUUUGGAAAAGGUUUUCUUAUUCUUGCACAUUUGAAAUUGGAAAGUUGUGAUGUCUUGGAUAAGACAAAGACCAACUAGGACCAAUUUUGUGAAGUGUUUUGUCUUGAUAAAAGCUACACUAACUCUUGAAUAUUUGUUUGUCAAGAAAUGUUUAUUGACAAGAGAAUCUUAUAUGUCAAGGAGUCAGUGGGAGUCUUAAUGGUCUUGAAAGGUUUCAAGAACAAAUCAAAUAAACCUUAUCGAUCAUCACUAGCACACGAGUUGAGGUUUACAACCUAUCGUGUUGACAUUAUUUUGAUUCUGUGCCAAUCCAAUCGAGUUAAUUAUGCAUGUGAGUUCUAUGAGUUCUCAUUUUGAACGCAUAAAAGGCAAAGCACCUUAAUCAAUGAAAGGUACAUUGAUAGGAAAGGGUGAGCUGCUUAACUACUUGGAAGACAUGGUGGGCAGCUGUGCUACCAUAAGGCAAGAAAUCAAGAUUAAGAAAGUUCGGUCCAUAUGAGUUUGAAUUUGUCGUAAACUUUGGUUUUAACAAAUUCACAUGGAUAGGAACACAUACACCGUUUAAAUCUAAGUGUCAUAAGAUUUCCUCCUUCAUGAAAAUGAUUGUGAGGAAAUGCUUUCACUAAGAAAGAUUUUAAGAAGAUAGUGAUUGUAAAAUUGCAUUCUCGAAUUCAAUUAUGGUUACGGCAUCCCUUUCCAUAAUUUGAAUUGUGAGGUUUGGCAAUUAGUCUUAAUUGUUUAGACACACAUAUGAACUAUCGAAGGCAAAGGUGUAUAAGUUCAAGAAGCCUUGAUAAAAGAUUAUCAAAGCACUAAGUAUUAGAAACAUGAACUUAAGAAAUUCAAUAAGUAUUGUUUUUCUGAAAGUUAAGAUGUUUAUGAAUACAUGUCGAAGCUAGUGGGAGCAUAAGUGUUAUGUUUUAUAAUAAUCAUCAUGAUAGUGGGAGCAUAAAUGUUAUGAUUGUAUGAUUAUUAAGGCACGUAUUGCAAGUUGGCAAUAUUAAUUAUAGAAAACAAGAGUUAUACCUUGCAAAGUCGUAAGGGUUGAAAAGUUGUUUUGCUAUAAUUAAGGGAGAGAAUAUUAUGCUUCAUUUCAAAUCUAAAGGCUUAGGUUGAGAAAUGUUAAUAAAUUUAGUCAAAGGUACAUAGUGUGUUCUUAAAAUUUCGAUUAUGAUUACGGCAUUCCUCUUCACAAUUCGAAUUUUGAGAACAUAGCAAAUAAAACAUUAUGCGUCGUGUCCCAUACGCUUCGGGUAUAGGAUCGAUUGCAAAUGCUUUAAUGUUUGACCAUUCUAAAAUUUUCCAAAUGUCUAGCGCAUUUAGAGGGAAAAAGGACUAGAAUCGGUUUUGACUAAAAUAAUUAAACAACUAUCAAAGGACAAUCCAAAGUUCGACGAGGAUUGGUCGCUUGUGAGUAGUUGGAAGUAUAGUAUUGGAAAAUAUGGAAAUGUUUCCAUAUUGGAUGGACCAUAUCGACAUCAUUACGAAUAGAUAAGAUUCUAUUAAGAAUGAGUUGUCAUAUGGAAAAUAUGGAAACGUGUCCAUAUUGGGAAUUGAAUAUUGAAAAUCUAUGUCUAGAUUAGAAACUUUUAUGCAAAAGGAUGUUCAAAGGAAUGUACUUUGAGUGAGAGACAUCAUAUCUAAGGAAUUGUCUUGUAACAAUCUCCGAUAGAGGACUUUGUAAUAUCAUUGGCAAUAGUCUUUGUGACUUUGGUGCAGUGACAUUACGAAAGGAUCAUUGCAUAAAAUGUUAGAAUCUAGCAUAUUCUAUAAGUGGCAAGAAUUUGAUAUUCUUUCACUUAUGAAAAAGGAUUAGGAGUUGUGAAAUGAGAAUGAUUGGAAAUGUGUUUAAUUUGAUCUAUUUCACAAAGUAAGAACCAUAGGUAAACAUUGUGUGCAUGCUAGGAGCAUGGGACAAGUGUAAUAAUUCAAGUAAGAAGUUGAUUACCCGAAACGACAAAUAAUGAGUAAUCAAUAUGGUGAUAAAUAAAAGGUGUUUUAUUUAUGCUCAAAGGGUUGAGGCCAUAUGGGAUUAGUAUUAUUCUUGUGUUUCACAUUUGCAUGUUUUGACUUCCAGAAUAAUUGAGUUUGUUAAGAAUAAUCAAAUUAUUCGAACGGGCCACAGUCGUUCAUAUGUUGGAAGUAGAUAUGAAUGAAGACUGUCGUGAAUUGGUGUGUGGAUUGUCUAAAAGAGUAUUAGACAUAAGCAAAUGUUUGCUGCAACGUUCAUGAGUGCUUAUGAAUAUGAUUUGAGCAUUGGAUUAAACCCACGCUCACUUGGAUCACUUCAUGGAUUUUAUCACGAGUGAUUGGUGAGACGAUAACAUCUUAUAUUCUUGAAACCGAGAUGUGUGAGUUGUAUCUUGCGAGUCGGUUGCACAUUGAUAAUAUGUAAACGCACCAGUAACUUGGUGUUAUAAAACAUAUUGUUGUGUGUGAUUUGGUGAGUGAGUGCAAGCGAGCAUUGAGUCAAAGUUUAUCCGUUCCUUUUAUCCAAAGUAGGAUAAAAGCGAUAUCUGUGGGCCCCUCGAUGAUUUAGUGAUGGCACCUAAGCGCUUGGCCAAGCCGGGACUAAUUUGAUGUGUUCAAUUGUAGUCUGUUGUCAGUCGUCAUAAAUCGGAAAUCGAGAAACAACACAUAGACAGAGAGAAUGAUUUAAAUCCAUGUCUCAGUCUAUACGAUAUCUAGAAUGGAGGAAUAUAUGAUCCCUUAUCUAAAGGGGACGCGUAUCUGAUAAGAUCAGAGUUGACAGCGGCUUUUGAAAGCUACGAUUGCAGAUCAGGAUCUGAAGUCAUAUGCAGAAUAGUUAUUAGACUUAUCCAAGUGGGAGACUGUUGGAUUAGUGUCUAAGUCCAUAACUAUUUUGGUAUGUACUUGACCCGAUGGUGCAUGGUCCUUUUGGGUUGCCUUCACCAAAGCAACUUGAUAGGAUGAAUUAUGGAGAGAAAGGAUUAAUUAUGAUUUAUUAAUAUAUUAUGAGAAUAAUAUAUUAAAGGAGAAAUCAUAUUGUUUAAUUAAUAUUAGUCAAUAAUUAAUUGAUAAUUAAUUUUGUGGCUAAAAGAGAUUAAUUAAACUUAAGGGACUGGAACUGUAAUUAUAAGAUAAUUGCAUUUGGGCUAUGGAUCACCUUGGAAUAAUAGGUUGGACGAGUUCUAUGGGGAAACCCAUUAGAAAUCGUCCAAGGGAUAUUCUAAAAAGGUCCAUGGGCUGCUUAGGGCUUAAGCAGUCAGAUUAGGGUUUCCUAGUUGAAAACCCUAAUAGCCUACAUGUAUAUAUAGUACCCUUAAGCCCCAAAAACAUGAAAGAAAAGAGUUCCAAUAGGGUUUCUGGACGUUUUUGGGCAGCCUCCUCCCUCCUUAUUCUUCAUCCUCUUGCUCUUAGUGUUUGUGAACCAUUAGAGGAGUGACACUUGUGACUCUAAGCUUUCUAAAGCCUUUACAAGGAGGAUUUGAGAUUGUUAUUGCUACAUAACAAUCAAUGUAAGAUCUAAACCCCAUUUAUAAGUUAAUAUGAUUAAUUGUAUGCUAGAUCUAGGGUUUAAAGUCUUGGAUGAAUUGCAUGUUCAAUAGAGAAACGUACAUCCAAGCAUUAGGGUUUGCAUGAGCACAUAGGAUGUUCUUAUGUCUUAAACCCAUCAGGCCUCACCUUACUAAAGAUUGUGAUCUUGACGAGAACAGGAACUGAAAGUGCAAGUGUGUUAUUCAAGUGGCGAUAGAUAUGAUGAGGAUUGGCGAAACCCAAGAAGGAAUGGCUACUGUAUGAUGAGUACAAGAAGGCAAAGGAGGAAAAGUAUAGACAAAAGGUAAGAGGUUUUUAUCAAAAGGAGGAGCCGAUGCAAGAAAAGAAAACAAACUUUGAAGAUAUGCUUGCAAGAUUUGCAUCCUCAUCCGAGAAAAUACACAACGAUAUCGAUGCUGCAAUAAAAGAUCAACAAAACGUGCUAAAACAUGUUAAAAACUCUAUGUACGAUUGACUUUUUUAAUCCGAAAUAACUGUCCGAAACAUGCCUCCAUAAUGUUUGUCCGUGAUUCCGUGUUGUCACUUUAAAAUACGAGCCUGGCAAUUGUACAUAGAUUCCUGGUUCAGACAUUGGUACUUUAGAAUGUAAGUCCAGAAUGUACUAAAAUUAUUAUUUCACCAAAGCUUCGGAAUGAGCAUCCGUACUCUGAGAUGCUCUAUUCCAGAGAAAAUAUGGUUAACAAAGCUCCAGAAUGAAACCCUGACUUCGGAAUGCUCUGUUCCGGAGAAAAUAGACAUUUUUCAAAAAAAUAUUUACGUUGGUUAUUAUUACUAAAAUACUCAUAUGGGUUAGUUCACUCAAUUUCCCAAAUAUUUUAUAUUAUAAUUAUAAGUUUUAACUAAAAGAUAGUAUUACCCAUGGUUGUCAAAAUUGCGAUCCUGAUCGUAGGAUAGUAGGUAUGAAAAACGAUCCUAGGUAUGAAAAACAAUCUGGAUCGUAUACAAAUCGUAUUUGGGAUAUGAUUGCAGAUAGGAUUGUAAGAUCGUAAGUAGGAUCUUAGGAUCGAGAUCCGAUCCGAUCCUACCUUUCCUUGAAUUUUUUUUUUCAAAUGAUUUUUUUUACCAUUUUAUGUCUUUUACUCUUUACCAAUUUACAAUUUAUCAUUUUGUGUUGUGACUUAUGACUAAUAUUUUGAAGCUUUUAGAAUUUUUGAACGAAAAAUUGAAUGUUUGAAAUAUUUUUCAUGAUUAAAAAUUAUAAAUUAAAAUUAUAUUUUAUUUUAUGGGAUGUUAGGAUCCUGAUCCCGAUCUUGCAAACCCAAAAGCAAUCCUACGUAGGAUCCCAAUCUUGACAACCUAUUACGAAGUUUGAUUCAAAACUUAAAACUUUUUGUUUAAAACUCAAAUUCAAAAGUGAAACACCAUUUAAAUUUGUAUUUGUUUUAUCAAAUUUUCUUGGGUUGUGUUAUAAAUACCCCCCUUAACCAUUUUUACCCCCCCCCCCCUCUCCCUAAAAUCAAUCAAAUCAAAAUUUUUGACAUUUGAUAAUUUUUUUUUCUUUUUUUGUCUUUCGUUGUUUUUUUUUUUGUUUUCCAAUUAUUUUUUGUUAUUUUUAAUUCUUUUUUAAUUUAUAUUAUUUGUAACGACCAUAAAAAUUCAACCAAUUUUAAUUUUUCAAAAACAACCCAUUUUCUCAAUGUUAUUACAAAAAGGGUUUUCAAUACAAUUAUUAUCAGAGUCUUCCCAGAAUCACAUCAUAAAACAUAAUCAUGAGGAGCGGUACGAUCACGCCUUUGCCUUGCCACGAUCUCCUGAAGAACCUGAAAAACAUUAAACCACAACUGUAAGAACGAAAGCUUAGUGAGAUACCCCCAAAAUACCAACCACAUAUACCAUACACGCAUAACAUGCCAUAUCAUAUCAGAACACAGAACAACCAUGCACUUCGGGUCUACUGUGUGACUGGUCCGCCGUGCCGGCCAGCAGUCCACCUGGUCCACCCUCCGAGUCUAACCAUAUACAUCGAGUCUGNNNNNNNNNNNNNNNNNNNNNNNNNNNNNNNNNNNNNNNNNNNNNNNNNNNNNNNNNNNNNNNNNNNNNNNNNNNNNNNNNNNNNNNNNNNNNNNNNNNNNNNNNNNNNNNNNNNNNNNNNNNNNNNNNNNNNNNNNNNNNNNNNNNNNNNNNNNNNNNNNNNNNNNNNNNNNNNNNNNNNNNNNNNNNNNNNNNNNNNNNNNNNNNNNNNNNNNNNNNNNNNNNNNNNNNNNNNNNNNNNNNNNNNNNNNNNNNNNNNNNNNNNNNNNNNNNNNNNNNNNNNNNNNNNNNNNNNNNNNNNNNNNNNNNNNNNNNNNNNNNNNNNNNNNNNNNNNNNNNNNNNNNNNNNNNNNNNNNNNNNNNNNNNNNNNNNNNNNNNNNNNNNNNNNNNNNNNNNNNNNNNNNNNNNNNNNNNNNNNNNNNNNNNNNNNNNNNNNNNNNNNNNNNNNNNNNNNNNNNNNNNNNNNNNNNNNNNNNNNNNNNNNNNNNNNNNNNNNNNNNNNNNNNNNNNNNNNNNNNNNNNNNNNNNNNNNNNNNNNNNNNNNNNNNNNNNNNNNNNNNNNNNNNNNNNNNNNNNNNNNNNNNNNNNNNNNNNNNNNNNNNNNNNNNNNNNNNNNNNNNNNNNNNNNNNNNNNNNNNNNNNNNNNNNNNNNNNNNNNNNNNNNNNNNNNNNNNNNNNNNNNNNNNNNNNNNNNNNNNNNNNNNNNNNNNNNNNNNNNNNNNNNNNNNNNNNNNNNNNNNNNNNNNNNNNNNNNNNNNNNNNNNNNNNNNNNNNNNNNNNNNNNNNNNNNNNNNNNNNNNNNNNNNNNNNNNNNNNNNNNNNNNNNNNNNNNNNNNNNNNNNNNNNNNNNNNNNNNNNNNNNNNNNNNNNNNNNNNNNNNNNNNNNNNNNNNNNNNNNNNNNNNNNNNNNNNNNNNNNNNNNNNNNNNNNNNNNNNNNNNNNNNNNNNNNNNNNNNNNNNNNNNNNNNNNNNNNNNNNNNNNNNNNNNNNNNNNNNNNNNNNNNNNNNNNNNNNNNNNNNNNNNNNNNNNNNNNNNNNNNNNNNNNNNNNNNNNNNNNNNNNNNNNNNNNNNNNNNNNNNNNNNNNNNNNNNNNNNNNNNNNNNNNNNNNNNNNNNNNNNNNNNNNNNNNNNNNNNNNNNNNNNNNNNNNNNNNNNNNNNNNNNNNNNNNNNNNNNNNNNNNNNNNNNNNNNNNNNNNNNNNNNNNNNNNNNNNNNNNNNNNNNNNNNNNNNNNNNNNNNNNNNNNNNNNNNNNNNNNNNNNNNNNNNNNNNNNNNNNNNNNNNNNNNNNNNNNNNNNNNNNNNNNNNNNNNNNNNNNNNNNNNNNNNNNNNNNNNNNNNNNNNNNNNNNNNNNNNNNNNNNNNNNNNNNNNNNNNNNNNNNNNNNNNNNNNNNNNNNNNNNNNNNNNNNNNNNNNNNNNNNNNNNNNNNNNNNNNNNNNNNNNNNNNNNNNNNNNNNNNNNNNNNNNNNNNNNNNNNNNNNNNNNNNNNNNNNNNNNNNNNNNNNNNNNNNNNNNNNNNNNNNNNNNNNNNNNNNNNNNNNNNNNNNNNNNNNNNNNNNNNNNNNNNNNNNNNNNNNNNNNNNNNNNNNNNNNNNNNNNNNNNNNNNNNNNNNNNNNNNNNNNNNNNNNNNNNNNNNNNNNNNNNNNNNNNNNNNNNNNNNNNNNNNNNNNNNNNNNNNNNNNNNNNNNNNNNNNNNNNNNNNNNNNNNNNNNNNNNNNNNNNNNNNNNNNNNNNNNNNNNNNNNNNNNNNNNNNNNNNNNNNNNNNNNNNNNNNNNNNNNNNNNNNNNNNNNNNNNNNNNNNNNNNNNNNNNNNNNNNNNNNNNNNNNNNNNNNNNNNNNNNNNNNNNNNNNNNNNNNNNNNNNNNNNNNNNNNNNNNNNNNNNNNNNNNNNNNNNNNNNNNNNNNNNNNNNNNNNNNNNNNNNNNNNNNNNNNNCUUAAGCUGGGCGUAAUCGGCUUGUCCCCAAAUUUCAUAUUUGGCCCUCUUCUUCCACUUUCCCACAAAAUGACCAAAAUACAUUUCCUCGUAAAUCCCAGGGACUCACAAUUAGGUACUCUUAGGAACGGGGCGUUACAUUAUUAUUAUUAUUAUUAUUAUUAUUAUUAUUAUUAUUAUUAUUAUUAUUAUUGUUAUAAAUUUCGCACAAAAUUUAAAUAUCCAGACGACAAUAUAAAUUCGAACGGCUAUAUAAAUCGGUUUUUAAAUAUUUUUAUAUAUAAUAAUAAUAAAAUCAAAAACAACAAAAGAAAAAAAAAACAAAAGAAAAAAAAAUCAAAUUGAAAUUUGAAAAGAAAGGGUACUUUUAGAAAAUUUUCUUUUGCGGGCACUCGGGCAGGGUAGGUAUACACCAGAAAACACAGGGCGAGUUCCCCGAGUCAAAACACAGUCGCAUAAUCAAACAGCAAGCAACGGCGGAGCCGGAGCCCGAGUGUUGGAUGAUAUUAUCGUACCAACGACCGAGGGCGCUGGCUUUGGAAUUACGAUCUCAAAUAACCAGAAGGACGUUCGUUUCUUCAAUGGAGACAAACGCAAACUUUAAAAUCCCCCAAACGAAAGAUUAUUCUCACUAUAACCACACUGAUUCUUGCAAGUCUUCCAGAUGGACUUCUAGGUAAUUCUCGUUCCUCUUUGCUUCCACAAAAUCAUUAGCAUAACAUGUCUUCAUUACCUAUUCAAUCGUUUUCAUAUGGAUUUUUACCCAAAUUAAAAAGAUCUUACAUUAAAUUAAUUCGAAUUAUCUCCUCUUUUGAGCUUAAUUUUCAUUUUUGAUUUAUACUCUUAGCAAUGACAAUGUAUGCAUCUAUCACAUGCAUAGAUUACACAUUUCUUGUUGUAAGAUUCAUAUAUGACAUGCGUAUAUAAGUUUGUCCCGUAGUUACUUCUGAAAGAACAUGUUGCAUUAAUUCCUAUAGUCAAUUUACCCAAUUUAUAAUGUCUAAUGAUCUUCAUUUCCUUGCUGUUGUAGGGAAUCUUAUGUGUUCAUGUAUGGGAGACCAUGGCAAAAUGUGAUCAACUUUUACUCAGAUGUGGUUAAUGGUCGGAUUACAUUGCUUCAGUUGUUUGGAGCCAAGGUCGGUGUUUGAUCCUUUUCUUACAUACUUCUAUUAAAGUAAUUUACCUUUUUUUUUCUCAAUUCACCCAUUCUAUAUUCAACGAUUCAACUAUUUCAUAAACUUAUGAUGAUCAAUAUCUUUUCAGACACAUCACAUUCCAGAUGAUAAUAGUCUAGACCCUUCUGAUGAAUCUGAAUAUGUUAUUACUCCAUCACAAAAACGAGCUGGAAGGUGGGCCCGAAUGAAUUAUAAGAUAGUUGUUUCAUACCAUGGAGGAUCCUUUGAUGGAUGGCAAAAGCAACCAGAGUUGAAUACUGUUCAAGAGUAAGUGUUACUGUUUCUUUCUUUUUGACUUAAUCUAAUCCUGAUAGAUAUAUGAUCGUUUUGUUUUGACUUGAUACAAAAAAGAAUGAGUUAACUUAUGCUUUUAAUGCAUUCAAACAUUGAUCAUUUAUAAGUAAUUCAUUAUAUUUUUUUGUUGACUUAUGAACUCAGGGUGAUUGAAAAGUCUCUUGGGAAGUUUGUUGAUGAAAGGAAAGCUGCAUUAUUGAGGGAUAAAGGUCUUCCUCUUGAAGCCAAUGUUGUAGUUGCUGGAAGAACUGAUAAAGGGGUGACUGGUUUUCAACAAGUCUGCUCUUUCUGUAUGUCAUAACUCUAAAAUAUUAUGUUUACCAUUUUCAGAUUUGAAAUUUAUAUUUUCAAAACAAGUUUCUUCAAAAAAUUCUAUAUGAAAUUGAACAAAGAUCUUUAACCAUGUAUUUUCAUUGAGUUGUUUAUCAAAGUACAGUGGUUUAAUAAGAAACAAGAUUGAAAGUAGAAUUCUUUAGGAUGCUAUAAUACACAAAAAAAUGAAAUACAAAGCAGGGACAAGAUAGUAAAUUUAACCAUCUGUGUAGCUUUUAAUAGUUAAUUAUCUUCAAUUGCUUAAUUGUUUAGAUACGUGGAGAGAGGAUAUUAAGCCUCAAGAUAUUGAAGAUGCCAUUAACAGCAUAACACCAGGAAAGCUUAGGGUCAUAUCUGUUUCUAAGGUAUUAUUUUAAAAGAUGCCAUUACUUUCAAUUCCUUUCUGAAAAACACCUUGUAGUUUUUUUUUUCUCUUUUUAUCUAAAAAACCCUGAACUUUUUAUUAUUUUUCUAAGAAGCCCUCACCUUUUAAUUUUUUCUGAAAAAACCUGCAACUUUUUUUUUGCGAAAAAACCCUCCACAUUUGAUUAGUUUUUUCAGAAAAAAACUGCUAAAAGGGCCAAACCGAAAAGGGUUAAUUUCAUAAAAGACCUUAUAUUUUGUGUUUUUUUACGGAUUAAGCCUCAACUUUAUUUUUUGCCUGAAAAGACCUUGUGUUUUUCAUUUUUUCCGAAAGAACCCUCAACUUCGUAUUUUUUUCCCGAAAAAAACUCUCAACCUUCUAAUUGAUUCCAAAUAAACCCUCACAUUUUACAAAUUUUUUUUUUGGAAAAAAACGACUAAAAGGGUCAGAUCGGAAAAAAUGAAAAAAAUACAAAGUCUUUUUCAGGCAAAAAAUAAAGUUGAGGUUUAACCCGGAAAAACAAAAUAAAUGAGUUUUUUAUUUUUUAUUUUUUUAAUUUAUUAUGAUGCUAUAAUAAAUAAGUUAUAACAGUAAUUUUGACACACUUGCUAUAAUUAUAUAAAAUUUUCAAAACUAAAAUGUUGUAAAUAAUAGGUAGAAAUAAAAAGUAACAUGCUAUAAAUAAAUAAACUAACAAAAGUACAUUGCUAUUUCUUACAUUUAACCCAUCUUAUAACACCAAAAUAUUAAUCAUUACAGGUCCCACGAACAUUCCAUCCUAAUUUCUCUGCAAAAUGGAGGCGAUAUUUAUAUAUCUUUCCUUUGAAUGAUGGGGAAACUGAUGAAGAAGAUUCUAAUAACCAAGAAAACAACAUUAUUGGUGAAAAAAGUUUUAAAAAAUCUUCAUUUGAUGAUGAAAAUGAAAAAGAUGAUGAGGAAAAUAUACAAAAACCAACAAGGUUUAAAGUUAGUAAGGUCAACAAGCUUCUUCAACAAUUAGAAGGGAAAUUAUUAUCUUACAAGAUGUUUGCACGUGAUACAAAACCCUCAAGAAACACGUAAGCUUUGUUUUAUGCAUUAAAUGUAAGAAAUAGCAAUGUACUUUCAUUAAUUUGUUUAUUAUAAAAAAUGGGUUUUAUGCAGAAAAGUCCCAUAAUUUUCUGGAAUUUUUUUUGAUAAAGUCCUAAAUGUUUUUGUUUUUUUUAACAGAAACGUCUCAUUAUUUUAGGAAAAUCACACAAUCUGUCAUUUCCCGUUAAAUUAAAAAAAAGGACUUUUUCGUUAAUUUGGGCAAAAUGUUAAAGAAUCGGGAUUUUUAUGUUUAGAAAAAAAAUUUAGGACUUUAUCAAAAGUUUUCCCAAAAUAAUGAGACUUUUCUGCAUAAAACCCUAUAAAAAAUCUAUCCAGUUAUAGCAAUGUUAUCCAAUUUUCAAUGGUGUAAUUGGUUACAUUUUUCAAAAUAUAAUAUCAUAAUAAGAAACAAUUGAAGAUGCAAUGUUAUAAUUGGUUAGAUUUCUUAGGGUUUUAUAUAGAAAAGUCCCAUUAUUUUGGGAACUUUUUUGAUAACGUCCUAAAUUUUUUUUUUUUUUUGAACAGAAAAGUCCCGAUUAUUUAAUAUUUUGCCCAAAUUAACGAAAAAGUCCUUAUUUUUAUUAACAAGAAAUGACAAAUUAUCAUGUAAAAUUAAAUAAUCUCGACUUUUAUUAUCAAAAAAAAAAAAAUUAGGACUUUAUAAAAAAAUUUCCCAACAUAAUGAGACUUUUCUGCAUAAACCCGAUUUUUUAAGUAUGAUGUCUUGAUUAGAAAAAAUAUUGAAAGUAGAAUGCUUUUUUUUUUUUUUUUUUUUUAAAUAGAAAGAGAUGAAAGUAUGAUGCUAUUUCUUGUUACAGUGGUCCUCCAACUGAGUGUUUUGUGUUCCAUGCGCGGGCCACACAAGUAACUUUAACCAUUGAUGCAAAGGUACUCAAAUUUUCAUGUUUUAUAUGGAGGGAGUGUUUUUGGAUGAAUCCUAUAACUAGAGGGACUCAAGUUGUCAAUACUAGAUUUUUACUGUUUUCUGUUUUUCAUGAAAGAAAGGAGAAUAUACAAAGGCAAUGUGCAUCGAAUUGGUUGCUAAUCGUUUUUUACGCAAGGUACACAUCUCUAAUUUAUUCAAUACUUAAAGGGUUGACUUAUUUUACUCAAAUAAGGAAUUUCAUUCUCAAAACGAUAAUUAAAUAAAUAUAUUAGCUCUUUGUAAUAGAGAAAGAAGGAAUUAAAUUAAUAAAGUGAGACUAAUUUUUUUUAUUUUUUAAUUGUUUAAUAGAUGGUUCGUGUGCUUGUGGCAACAUCAAUAAGAGAAGCGGCGGCUGGAGCUGAAGAUGAUGCGCUGAUAAAAUUGAUGGAUGCCACGUGUCGACGUGCCACGGCCCCACCAGCACCCCCUGAUGGCCUUUGUCUUUUUGAUGUUGGCUAUAAAGAUUUUGAUUCACAAAUUUGCUUAAUCGUUUAAGUUGUAACAUAAUAUUCAAAUAUUUUUAACCAUUAAUUAUAUGGAAAAACUUUAUCUAGACAAUAUAUGGAAAAAAAAAUAGAAACAACGUUUAGUAAGCUAUAUAUGAGUGUUGUUAUAUAUCACUUGGAAAAAAGAUGGAAAAAGGAAACAAGGCACUUGGAAAAAAAAUGAAAAAAGAGAAACAAGGUUGAACAUAACAAGACAAACUUUUCAGCCUAUUUCUAGUGAUGUAGACGAAGAGAACAUUCGCAUAUUUCGCACAGAUGGAUAUCAAGUACGAGUUGUGGCACAAAAAAAAAAUGCAAUUUUGUCCUAUUUAUAAUGGUUCUACACUAGUAGUAGUCUAAUAUAUGCCAAAUGUAGUAUAAUGUAUUCUUCUAUGUCGUGUUAUAUCUUUCAUAACAAACGAGAUUUGUAUUAAGCAAGAGAAACUUUCACCAAAUAUUUUCGGUGACGAGAACGAGAGAGGUAUUCCCUUCUUUUGUUCAGAUGAGGGUUCAAAAGUGAGUCUCUUUCCAUCCCACCUUGUUCCCCCUUUUGACUAGUGAAAGGAUGUGAUUGACGAAUCUUUUGUACAUAUAUGCAAGCAAAAGACUAGAGAAUUUAUGGGGCGAAUUUGGAUGAAUUGAUUAUCGUUGCUAGCUCAGAUCCUUAGGCCAACAUACAAAAGACGAUGAAAAAGUGGAGGAUGAAACAACGAUUGUAAUAACAAGCGAUUUGAGCAUAUGGAUUAGUGAUGAAAGUGGGUCCAAACACGGUCCGGAUAGACCCGGACCCGGAAAACCGGGGAACCGGUUAACAGGUUUUGUAGGAUCGAAAACUAGACCGAUAUAUAGGAACCGGUUUCGGUUCAGUUCCGGGUAAAGUGGGUCUAGAACCGGAAAACCCAAAAAUAUCAAAGUGGGUUGGGUGAAAACGGGUAAAGUUAGUCUAGAACCAGAAAACCCGGGAAAACCAGAAUUUUUUUGGUAAUUACUUAGUGGGUUGAACAUUGAAAAAUUUCAGCUUUGAUAUCCUGACUUCGGGGGACUGUAAGUCAUUGAAUAUUAAAACAAAAAAAUGACAAAAUUAUAGUCUAAAAUGAUGAACAACAAAUUAUAGUCUAAAAUCAUGAACAAACUCUAAACUACGUGUUGGAAAAAGCCUUAUGAUAAUCCGACUUCAAACAAAUUAGAUAUGCAUGUUUUAAAAUUUCACAGAAUACAAAAAAAGCUGAAAAACAGUUUUUUUUUUUUUUUUUAGCUUUGAUAUCUCGACUUCGUGGACUCUAAGUCAAUGAAUAUGAAACCAAAAAUAAAAAAAUUAUAGUCUAAAAUCAUGUAUAAACUCUUAACUACAUGUUCGGAAAAACGGUAUGCUAGCCCGACUUCAAACUAAUUAAAUAUGCAUUUUUUAAAAACUUUCAGAGAAUACAAAAAAAAAAAAAAAAAAAAAAACCUGAAAAACAGAAAAUUUUCAGCUUUGAUAUCGCGAAUUUAGUGGACCGUGAGUCAAUGAAUAUGAAACAUAAAAUGACAAAAUUAUAGUAUAAAAUUAUGUAAAGCUAUCAACUACAUUAUGGAAAAAACCUCAUGUAAAUCUAACUUCAAACGAAUGAGAUAUGAUGUUUUUUAGAAACCGGUUUCGACACUAAAACCAGGUGUUCUUAACACAGGUUCCGGCUCUUAAACCCAAUUUACCCGGACACGAAGGACCAGAAAUCCGAAUUCCCCGAACCCGGAAAAAAUCAUUCUUUAAAACCGGAACACAGACAUGUUCUAAAUAUUUUGGUUUUAACGGUUCCGGUUCUAGUUUAAAACCCCAUCACUACUAUGGAACCUUUGACACAUGUGAUAAAUUACAAAUAGUAUAUAUAAAUGAAUUUUCCCUCUUAUUAAAUAUUGUCUUCGAAAGAUAAUCAAGAAGGCGGUUAGACCAAGAGGUGCACUCCGGUCGUGUUGUGGGGCUUAUUUGGCAUCAUCCUGACCCCUAGAACACUAGCAGUUGAAAACAACCCCAUCAAACUUCUUUUUUCUUUUUUCCUUUAUUGCACUUAUAUCCCCUAUUCUUUUAGAUUUAUGGACAAUUACCCCUUUUGACUCUUUGACUAUUACAUAUUUUUACCUUUUUUUUUCUUUGCAAUAUUUUUUGGUCUAUUUAAUUAGCACGGUCCUGAUAAAACAUAGUAUUUUUGUAUCAUGUAAAUUUCUAGAGCUUUCAGCUAGUAAAUAUUAUAACUUAAUAUUGUGCUUACAUUUUGGUAAAUCAAAGAACAAAUUUCAUACCUUUUACUUAGGGAAAAUGACACUCUAGCACAAUAAAUUUUGACUUUGUCCCGGAUUGGUUACUGAUGUUUUUUUUGUUUUUAAUUUAUUUAUUUUUUAUUUUCUAUUUUUGUGCAAUUAGUCCUUAAAGUUUUAAAUUACCUUUUAAUUACGCCAUUAUCCUCGAUUUUAAAGGUUUAGCUGGUUCCGACGCUUCGUUAGCAAUACUGACCUGGAAGCUUCAUCCCUCAUGUAUGACAUGCCAUCACAAGCUUAUUAAUUGAAACCCUUAAUCGACACACUACCUUGAUCCUUAUUCUUGUAAUCGAAACCCCAAAAACCCUAACAUCACAUAUCAAAAGUAACAUGACAAUGAUGUUUUGAGCUGAAAUUUGUUAAUUUUGUUUGAAUAUGAUCCUCGUUAGCUUGGAUUUUGGUUACCGUCAUGUUCGAUUUUAGAUGUUUAACUCCGAGGUCGAAAUUAGAUUCUUUAAAUGAUUAGGGUUUGGUUUUAUAACCUCCCUUGAAUAGUUUUGAUGAUCCCAAUCUCAAUAUAAUCAUUCCAUUAAUGGAUUUGAGGAUUCGGGUGAAAACCCUCAUGAACCUUAGAAAACCCAAAUUGGGGAAAUUACUAUUGAUGAUAAAAUGGGAUUGGAUUAUAUGACCAAUACGAUAUUUGAUAGCAAACAAUCCAAUUAGAAUGCUCAAAUUCAUCCAUGAUGGUAGAAUCGAGUAUAAGCAUGUACUAGUAUUGAUUUUGGGGAAAUUGGAAUGAAAACAAUGAAAUCCUUUGUACGUGAGCAUUUGAUGAAUAUAUGAUACUCAUAAACAUGAGUUGAUACUAAUAAUACGAUUUGAAUGCAAGAACAUGAAUACUUGAAUGAUUACUAGUUGAAUUUAUGGAAUAUUUGGCUAUAAGGGUAUUUUUGAAAAUCUAUGGUACAUAAAGAUUGACAUGUAAGAAGUGAAUUGCAUUCAUGGCACUCUAGAGAUGAUAUUGGAACACAAACAUGAAGGGAUGCUAGUAAGGUUCUAUCUAUAGUGAUUGUUUUGGCCCAAAGGGCAACUUGGGAAUAUGAAAUGAAAUUGAGGAUUCCAUAGUUAGUUUAGGUGUUUAAAAGGAGAUUAGAUAUGGUUUCAUGCACUUGACAACAUCCUCUUGAAUGUUCAACAAGUUAGGAAAAAGUUUUGUGGACUUUGGAAUGUUCAAGUGCAAAACGGACUAGUUUACCCUUCUUUUAAACACUUGAAGAUCAUUAUGCUCUUAAUGUGUUCAAUGAAAACUUAAUGGAUUAAUUGGAGUGUGUUAAGAUGAUAAAACACCUCUUAACUAUGUGUGAGAACUCAUACAAGUGAUUUAGAAUGAUGUUGGGUGAGAACAUUGGUCAUUAAGAGCUUAAUUGCUAGGGGUGUUCAAAAACAUUUGUAUCUGAAAAUCCCAUCCGAAAUUUCGUAUAUCCAAUUUCUUGGAUAUCCGAUUUUUCGGAUUCAGAUACAGAUAGUCACUUUAUAAGUUUUCGGAUAUUUUGGAUAUCCGAUAUCCGGAAAAUAUAUAAUUUUUGUUAAUUUUGUUAAAAAAAAUUAUAGUUAUCAUUUUUAAAAGUUAAAUGGUAAGAAUUAGGAACAUAGUUGGUUUUAACUAAUGUUUUCUUUACGAUAACUAUUUAUUUACAUGCAUAAAGAUGGUUACGUAAUUAUUUUAAUAUAUGAAUAGGAGUUUUUAUUUAAAAAUAUAAUUGUACUUCAUUAUUUCCUGUAAGAGCCUUACAAUUUCAUUUUGACCAGAUGCCCUUUGGUGAAACAUGGGAACUUGGUAAAUGCAAACAUGUUUGAUAAUUCUGAUUUCUAAUUAGACAGAUUUCUUUUGAUUUUUUAAAGUAAACAAAUACUUUAUGGUUUUUAGUUGGGUAGAUUUUUUUAAGAGCGAUCUCUUAAUAAGUUCCUCUACGUUCAAGUCCUUAAUGCACAUUUAUUUAUAUAAUUAGGAUUUUUUUUUGGUAAAAAUGAAAGUAAGAUGCUAUAAUGAAGAAAUAUAUUAUAUACAUAAACAACGUUUAACUAUGUAAGGAUAGUUUAAUUGACAUAUAUUUUUUUCAACUUUUUAUUGCAUACGUGUAGAAACAUAUAACAUUUAUAAGACCACAUUGCAUUUUAAUGUAUUUAACGUUCCUUUUAGGAUCAAAGAUAACACAUCCUAAUUAAUAGACUUUGGAACGACCACAAAACAACACUAAUUAAUAUUUCCUAAGAUGCUUUUACAAAGUUUGAACAUGAAAAUGUUUACAUGAUAAAUACAACGAUAACAUUUAAACAAAUAGACGAAUAACAAAACUGACUACAAAACACCAUCCCAACAAAGGAUCAUAUAUUUUAGGAACUCCAUCCAAUUCGAAACACCAACCUCAUCUCAUCAUCAAAUCUCUUGCAUAUACAAUUCCAUCCAAUUCGAAAUGUCAAAAUUACACAAAUGGCUAAAAUUAAAUACUAUGCAUCAAAUGAAUAAAAGCAAAAACAUUAUAAUACCUUCCUUGAUGGGUAAGUUCAUUUUUAAGGAAGGAUUUUUGAGGUGUCGAGUUUUCUAUAGCUUCACAGUAGCUAGAAAAUAUGUUUUAUGUCUUGAAUCUAAGUCAUUUAAAGAGUCAUACUUCAUCUCCUGUGGUUACAUCCCAUUUAUGGGAUAAAUAAUCAUUAAAAAUGGGAUGCUAUAAUCACCAAAUCAAGAAUAUAUGUUUCUAUUUCUUGUGUUUAGCUCAAACUUAAGAAGAGUUAGUUUAUUAUAGCAUUCUAGUUUCAUCUCCUCCCAUCACGCCAAUCUCUUUAGAAAAUGACAACAUUUUUGGAUUUAUAUUUAAGUAAAUGUACUUUGAAAUGUAUGCGUAAUUAAAGGUUUAUACUUUUAGAAUAAAGUUAUUAUUAUUAUGACAUUGUACUAAAGAAAAUGGGAUAAAAUUAGCAGAUUAUGUCAUGUUCUCAUUAUUCUUUUUUCCCUUCUGCUAUUGGUGAUGUAAACACUUUCCCAUAACCUAGCAGCAAAGACGUUAUAAAAAGUCGUUAAACAUGACUAAAGGAUGAAGUGAAAAGAUACUAUAAAUACUUUCCCAUAACCUGUCAUUUGUAAAAUUAGAUCUUUAAACUCAUAUUUUUCUAACACUUCGAAUUAUGUAUGUAUAAUUAGAGAAUUCUACAUAAGCAUAAGAACCUAUUAGUUAGUUAUAUGUGUAAAAAAUAAAAAAUAGCCAUUAUUUAACUAAAAAGGAACAACACCUAGUAUGUGUUGUAAUUGUUUAGUGCAGUAAACAAUUUAUACCUUUAACAUACUUCAAAUAUUAUAUUUCCAUGUUGAUAAACAUUAUUGAUGAUAUAAAAAAUCAAAUCCCACAAAAGUAAAAUCUUCUAGCCGGUAUCCUUAAUUUUAUCUUAAUAAUAAAAAUGAUGGGGAAUAAGAAAAGAGUAACAGAUGGAUAUCAUCAAUAUGCAUAACAACAUUUGGAAAAAAGAGUAAAUAGCAUUUCUUGAAUUAUAGAACAACCAACAAUCUUAAACAAAUGGUAACUGCAGCCAAAAUAUAACGAAGCAAAAAUUUAAAAUGUCAAAGUAAAUGAAUUUCUUUUGAGGCAUUUAAUCGAACACCAUAUAUGCAUUCCAACAUCAACAAGGUUUUGAAUACAGAAAUUACAUGAGAAGUCGACCAAUGAAGGGAAAAUAUAAGAUUAAUAAAAAAAAAAUUGAGCACAUAAACGAUAAGAAAUGCUUUGCAAAAGAUGUUCAUCAUUAAAUCAAAAUGAUUUUCUAAUCUUAUGUAGAUGGUGGUGUAUUCGAUUGUGAUGAUGAUGCAAAGUAAAAGUUUGUAGAAUCCUUGAUAACAAUUACUGGUGGUAACAAUAACAUGAGAAUAUAAAUUUGAAAAGGAUAACAAUACAAAAAUACAUUGAUAGAUAAUAGUAUUUUGAAUUCCUUUGAUUCUAAAUUGGAUAAUUAUGGAAUAUCUAUCAAAGAUUAGUGGUUUCACUAAUAAGGACACCGCCCCCUCUAAAUUCCAAAAAGCUUUGGCGUGUGUCCUUUUUAGCAAAAUCGUCCAAGAUAUGAAAGUCGACUUCAACAUGACUGUUAGACAGAAAACAAUCUUUGAGUGUUUGCGGGCACCUCAUGCUCAGAAUUUUCUGCUAACUAUCCCCAUUGAUGGUCUUGGCCAUCAUAUGUCUCCUGUGGAGUACCGAACUAUCCUUCGUUAGUGCUUAUUCUUUCGCCUUUUACUAAAAAAAAAAAAACUAUCCUUCAUUAGUGCCUCAUGAUUCCCCUAUUCCCAAUUGACGUAUGCCCAGUUUGCCUCAAGGUAUGUUUGGAUACCUUUGGGGAACACGCAGUUCAUUUUAGAGAGCUCCCUGGUUUCAAUUACAGACAUGAUGUGGUUCGGGAUGUUCUCUUUGUUGCUUGUCGGCGUGCUGGUAUUUAUGUGAAGAAAGAAGUGUCAGUGAACUUUUUGAUGGACCCGCAUGAUGGAAGGUUCACACUUAGACCGAAUGACAUUUUAGUCUUUGGAUGGAUAGGAGGGAAGAAUGCAUGCGUGGAUCUUACUGGGGUCUCCCCUCUCGUUGGUUUGGGGAGCAGGGGUUUCACAGCAGGGCAUGCCGCUUUGAAAGCCGCUACGUGCAAAGUGGUAAAGCACGAGAAUGCAUGUAUAGAAAAUCAACAUGUGUUUGUACCUUUUGUAUUCGAUACAUUUGGUUUUUUUCUCGCACUAGAGGCGGCGGAGCUCCUCAAUAGAGUCCAACGGGUCAUGCAUUCUAUUGUCAUAUCUCCUAGAUCCACAAAUGUUGUUUUCAAAAGAAUUGGUUUUGCCAUCCAGAAAGGGCUAGGGGCGCAACUUGUUGCCCGUUUGCCUUCAAUCGAUAUGUAUUAAACUUUUAUUUUCAAUCAAUGAAUAUAGAAUAGAUGAAAUAUAUAACAGAUUUAGAAAAGGUGUUAAAUAAUAGGCAUAAUCCAAGAUCACUUUAUAGAUUAGCAUCAAGAACCCUAAGUAAAUUGAAGAACACUUACUUGGAAAGGAUGAUAACAAAUGAUGUCGAAUAUGAUGCCACAGUUCGAUUCUCUUUCUUCCCGUAAUGGUGUCUAUCUGAUUUUCUGAUGGAUAGAUAGAUCAUCCCAAUGGCACUCAUGAUGAUGGUGUGUUAUAGGGAGUGCUUAAUGUUGGAUUAGUGUCUAAGUCCAUAACUAUUUUGGUAUGUACUUGACCCGAUGGUGCAUGGUCCUUUUGGGUUGCCUUCACCAAAGCAAAUUGAUAGGAUGAAUUAUGGAGAGAAAGGAUUAAAUAUGAUUUAUUAAUAUAUUAUGAGAAUAAUAUAUUAAAGGAGAAAUCAUAUUGUUUAAUUAAUAUUAGUCAAUAAUUAAUUGGUAAUUAGUUUUGUGACUAAAAGAGAUUAAUUAAACUUAAAGGAUUGGAAUUGUAAUUAUAAGAUAAUUGCAAAUUGGGCUAUGGAUUGCCAUAUAUUGAGGAGUGGACGAAUUCUAUGGGGAAGCCCAUAAGAAGUCGUCCAAGGUCUUAAGGAAAGGGAUCCAUGGGUUGCUUAGGGCUUAAGCAUCCAAAUUAGGGUUUCCUUGUUAGAUAACCCUAAUGGCCUCACUAUAUAAAGAACCCUUAAGGCUCAAAAAAUGUGGGGAACUUCUCUUCUAGGGUUAGAACACGUUUUGGGCAGCCUCCAUCCUCUCUCCUCUUCAUGCUCUUGCUUAUGGUGUUUGUGAACCAUUAGAGGAGUGACAUUUGUGACUCUAAGCUUUCUAAAGUCAAUACAAGGAGGAAUUGGGAUUGUUAUUGCUACAUAACAAUCAGGGUAAUAUCUUAAACCUAUUCUCAUGUUAAUAUGAUUACUUGAAUGCUAGAAUUAGGGUUUAUAGUCUUGGAUAACUUGCAUGUACAAUAGAGAAACCUAGAUCCAAGCAUUAGGGUUUGUAUGAGCACAUAGGAUGUCUUAUGACCAAAACCCAUCAGUGGUAUCAGAGCCUAGACUGGUUUCAAUUGUAUUGAUGCAUUACAUGUUCAAAAAAUUCGAUUUUUGAUGUUCUGGAGGCUGGACUCGCCGAGUCCAUAGCUGAACUCGCCGAGUCCAUGCAGACUCGACGAGUCCAAGCCUGACUCGACGAGUCAACUCGUCAGAUGGAGGGUAUUUCGGGAUUUCUUGCUGUUUUUGCUUAUGGAUAGUUACCUUAUCAUGUUAGAUCAAUAUUAAUCCGAUUAUAUGAUAUAUUUGACUAUAUUUUUGAUCUAAUUGAAGAUAUUUAUCAAUUAAUAAGAUAAUUGUUUCCUUAUAAGAUAAUUGAUUAAUUAUUUUGAGUAAAUUGAUAAAUUGUUUUGCAAGAAAUCAUUAAAUAAAUCAAAUAUGGAUAAUUAUGUGAUUAAAUGUUAAUUUGAAUUAUUUGUUAUUUGAUCCUUGUUGUUAUGAAAAGUUUCAUAUUUUCCCCCUUAGGUUUUAUAGUUUAAAUUUGAACCCAAAAGUUUUGUUGUUUUGAAAUUUAAAUAGUUGAAACCCUAAUGUUUUGAAAAAGGUUUCAAAACUUGCCCUCAAGUUUUGGAAUUUAAAUUUUGAUUAAAUGGUUUAAUUUUGAUGUAUAUUUAAAUUCUAAACCCUAAUGUGUUGAAAUGUUUCAAAACUUGCCCUCAAGUUUUGGAAUUUAAAAGUUGAUUAAAAGUUUAAUUAGGAAUGUUAAAUUCUAAAACUCUAGUAUAGUUUUGAAAAAGUUCAAAUCACACCCUUAUGGUUUUAUUAAUUAAUUAAGGUGUAUAAUUAAAAGAGGUUUAAUAAAUCCAUAAAAGUUUAGGUUUACAAUUUAAUUGAAUUAAAAGUAUAAUUGUUAAAUUUGACCACCUAGUAUUUUAAAAGUGUAAAAUACACCCUAUACUAUAUAUAACAUUAAAAGUCUAACAUUAUAUAUAUGUAUGAGUAAAAGUCAGUCUUACCGUUAGUAGGCCUCAUUCACGAAGCUGGUCUAUAAGGGGUGUUUAAGGAAAUUGCCUAUAAAAUGGCGAUUGAAUGGGUAUCCACUCUUACCCACCGCACUCUUGACUAGUGGAGGGUCGUUAGCCGAACGGGUAGGAUAGGACGAAACCUUCCAUUAUAAGUAUAAUGAAGUAUAAAAGUAACUAAAUGUUUUCAUAAAAUUCCCAAUCUUAGUUACUUAGGCAAAAGUGAAUUGAUGCAAUUCCAUGAAAUUACACUUUGUGCCCUUGCGAAGACGUUAGUGGAGCGUGUGUGGUUUACCGGCACACUAAAUGGUUCUAAGCAAAGGUAGCAAAGGGUGACUCAAUGUUUGUCAUAGUUCGGUGGAGCGUGUGUGGUUUACCGGCACAUCGAAUAGGUGACUGUAACAUGUGAGGGCACCAUGUAAGUUUGCAUGGUUAUUCACACCCGCUUUGUGAUCCUCGGCAUCCCAGUCACAAACAAGAGGGGCAUAUCGAGAUUUAAACAUGCCAUUGAAAUGUUCAAUGAAUCUCAAAGGAUCUAGGAGUUUUCAUAGAUUUAAAACUUAAAUUUCUUUUUCGUUUUUCAUGGUGGAAAUUAGUGAAUCGUCAUUCACUUACCUUCAAAUGUUCUGCAAUUUGGGUUACGGCAUCCCUCUCCCGAGUUGUAGAAUAUUGUGUUGGGUCCUAGCCUUAGUAUCUCAUUUGGGUGAUUUACUAAGGACUCAAUCAAUCAACUAACUUGAAUUCGUUUUCUCCCGUUUUGUAGAUGUCAAAGUUCGACAACUAUGGUCUUCCCAAAUCCCGUGGAACAAGCAUUCCACAUGAAGAUGAUAUUCCACGAUUCGAUCGAGGAACAAGAAAUCAUGCUUCACUUCCUCCACCUCCUCCAAUUAUUCUCCCUAACCCACAAGUUCAAAGGCUUGAAAAGUUCAAGAUCACUCAAGCCCUUUUGGCAAGUAAACAUAAAGAAGGAAAGUCGGUGUGUGCACACGUCCUAGGGAUGAAGUCACACAUUGAUAGGUUAAGAAUGUUGGGAUCCGUUGUCUGUGAGGAAAUGGCUGUUGAUUGGGUUCUUCAGUCACUUCCUAACUCAUAUAGUGAGUUCGUAAGAGAGUACUAUAUGAUGAACCACGACGUGACCCUUAUAGAUCUCACCUAUAUGCUUAUUGCUGCUGAAUCAGCAAUGGUUUGGCGCAAUAGAAAAGCAAAGUUGAUUGGUGAAUCUGCCUUCAAGACCUCUAUGGAUAUAGACAAUGGCAACGAAAGACAUGCUAUGAUCGAAAAGUUUGAUCAUAAGAGAAAGGCAAUGUCUGAAGUAGUUCCAUGUCAUGUUCCAAAAGAGUCAAUUUGCUUUUAUUGCCAAGAGAAAGGGCAUUGGAGACGAAGCUGCCCUAUUUACCUAAGAGAUCUAAGAGAUGGGAGAGUCGAAACGUAUGGCUCUAAUAUAGGUAAAAUCCAUUAACUAACUCUUUUAAGCUUCUAUUCUAGAUUCUUAAUACAUAAUGUGAUAAGAUUACAAUUGAUGUUUUGUAGGAUCGAAGAAAAGAAAGGAAGCUUAAGGGAAGAAGUGAGCAGAAUCUAACCGUGAAGGAAUGGAUUUCGAUCGCAUUUCUCGAAGAUUAGAUUCUUGAGCUACUACUUAGAGUUAGAAUUAGAUUGCUAAGAAAGAUGUAUUAGCAAUAGUUUUUCAAUGAGUUGCAUUGUAAGGACAAAUUUUUCCGCAAUAAAAUAAAUUUUGAUUUUAAAUUUUAUUUAUUUAUCCUUACAAUGGCGUGUAUGAAAAAUUGAUGUUAAAAUGUUUCUAUUAUUAGCAAUAAUGGAUUUGGUUCUUAUUAUGUUAUUUAUGGAAAGUCGAGAAUUUACCAAAUAGGGAGAGUUUCUCAUCGCCCAAGUUUCAAUUGGACAGAAACUUGGAAUCAUGCAACUUGGUUGCACGAUGAAUGAGAAAUUUCAUAUUUGGAAAUUAGACUAAUUCAUUGACAAAGUGUCAAGUGAAGGACUAGGAGAUCGAGCACACAAAGUUGCGUGUUGAUCAAGUCCACCAUAAGAGUAACAAAGAUAUUCGUCAUGAUUUACUAAAGGUUUAGUAAAUAUGAUUAUACUUAUAAGAUUAAGUGUAAUUCUGAAUUGAUUGAAAAGGUUUAAAUCAAUAGCAGAACGAAUAAGAAGAAUCAAGUAGGCAGAAAGAUAAAAGUUUCUCCAUUCUAAGAAGAAGGGAGAGUACCUUUUAUGCUUUAUGAUAGGUCUUAAUGAUUAAGAACCAUAUCUCAAUUGAUCCUCUAAGUGAGUCUUAGUACAAUUGUAUGUCUAAGAAGAGGAAUCAAGAAUUGAAGAAAUGGUUAAAUCAAGAAGUCAAUCAUACUUCGUUCCAAAACAAGUCUUAGAGUUAAGAUUGUGACAUUGAGUGAUAAGUAUUAAGAAGGUUUAUAACAUUCAUUAAAUGUGGAAAGUUGUGAUGUCUUGGAUAAGACAAAGACCAACUAGGACCAAUUUAUGAAGUGUUUUGAUAAAAGCUACACUAACUCUUGAAUAUUUGUUUGUCAAGAAAUGGUUAUUGACAAGAGAAUCUUAUAUGUCAAGGAGUCAGUGGGAGUCUUAAUGGUCUUGAAAGGUUUCAAGAACAAAUCAAAUAAACCUUAUCGAUCAUCACUAGCACACGAGUUGAGGUUUACAACCUAUCGUGUUGACAUUAUUUUGAUUCUGUGCCAAUCCAAUCGAGUUAAUUAUGCAUGUGAGUUCUAUGAGUUCUCAUUUUGAACGCAUAAAAGGCAAAGCACCUUAAUCAAUGAAAGGUACAUUGAUAGGAAAGGGUGAGCUGCUUAACUACUUGGAAGACAUGGUGGGCAGCUGUGCUACCAUAAGGCAAGAAAUCAAGAUUAAGAAAGUUCGGUCCAUAUGAGUUUGAAUUUGUCGUAAACUUUGGUUUUAACAAAUUCACAUGGAUAGGAACACAUACACCGUUUAAAUCUAAGUGUCAUAAGAUUUCCUCCUUCAUGAAAAUGAUUGUGAGGAAAUGCUUUCACUAAGAAAGAUUUUAAGAAGAUAGUGAUUGUAAAAUUGCAUUCUCGAAUUCAAUUAUGGUUACGGCAUCCCUUUCCAUAAUUUGAAUUGUGAGGUUUGGCAAUUAGUCUUAAUUGUUUAGACACACAUAUGAACUAUCGAAGGCAAAGGUGUAUAAGUUCAAGAAGCCUUGAUAAAAGAUUAUCAAAGCACUAAGUAUUAGAAACAUGAACUUAAGAAAUUCAAUAAGCAUUGGUUUUCUGAAAGUUAAGAUGUUUAUGAAUACAUGUCGAAGCUAGUGGGAGCAUAAGUGUUAUGUUUUAUAAUAAUCAUCAUGAUAGUGGGAGCAUAAAUGUUAUGAUUGUAUGAUUAUUAAGGAAAGUAUUGCAAGGUUAGCAAUAUUAAUUAUAGAAAACAAGAGUCAUACUUUGCAAAGUUGUAAGAGUUGAAAAGUUGUUUUGCUAUAAUUAAGGGAGAGAAUAUUAUGCUUCAUUUCAAAUCUAAAGGAUUAGGUUGAGAAAUGUUAAUAAAUUUAGUCAAAGGUACAUAGUGUGUUCUUAAAAUUUCGAUUAUGAUUACGGCAUCCCUCUUCACAAUUCGAAUUUUGAGAACAUAGCAAAUAAAACAUUAUGCGUCGUGUCCCAUACGCUUCGGGUAUAGGAUCGAUUGCAAAUGCUUUAAUGUUUGACCAUUCUAAAAUUUUCCAAAUGUCGAGCGCAUUUAGAGGGAAAAGGGACUAGAAUUGGUUUUGACUAAAAUAAUUAAACAACUAUCAAAGGACAAUCCAAGUUCGACGAGGAUUGGUCGCUUGUGAGUAGUUGGAAGUAUAGUAUUGGAAAAUAUGGAAAUGUUUCCAUAUUGGAUGGACCAUAUCGACAUUAUUAUGAAUAGAUAAGAUUCUAUUAAGAAUGAGUUGUCAUAUGGAAAAUAUGGAAACGUGUCCAUAUUGGGAAUUGAAUAUUGAAAAUCUAUGUCUAGAUUAGAAACUUUUAUGCAAAAGGAUGUUCAAAGGAAUGUACUUUGAGUGAGAGACAUCAUAUCUAAGGAAUUGUCUUGUAACAAUCUCCGAUAGAGAACUUUGUAAUAUCAUUGGCAAUAGUCUUUGUGACUUUGGUGCAGUGACAUUACGAAAGGAUCAUUGCAUAAAAUGUUAGAAUCUAGCAUAUUCUAUAAGUGGCAAGAAUUUGAUAUUCUUACACUUAUGAAAAAGGAUUUGGAGUUGUGAAAUGAGAAUGAUUGGAAAUGUGUUCAAUUUGAUCUAUUUCACAAAGUAAGAACCAUAGGUAAACAUUGUGUGCAUGCUAGGAGCAUGGGACAAGUGUAAUAAUUCAAGUAAGAAGUUGAUUACCCGAAACGACAAAUAAUGAGUAAUCGAUAUGGUGAUAAAUAAAAGGUGUUUUAUUUAUACUCAAAGGUUUGAGGCCAUAUGGGAUUAGUAUUAUUCUUGUGUUUCACAUUUGCAUGUUUUGACUUCCAGAAUAAUUGAGUUUAUUAAGAAUAAUCGAAUUAUUCGAACGGGCCACAGUCGUUCAUAUGUUGGAAGUAGAUAUGAAUGAAGACUGUCGUGAAUUGGUGUGUGGAUUGUCUAAAGAGUAUUAGACAUAAGCAAAUGUUUGCUGCAACGUUCAUGAGUGCUUAUGAAUAUGAUUUGAGCAUUGGAUUAAACCCACGCUCACUUGGAUCACUCCAUGAAUUGUAUCACGAGUGAUUGGUGAGACGAUAACAUCUUAUAUUCUUGAAACCGAGAUGUGUGAGUUGUAUCUUGCAAAUCGGUUGCACAUUGAUAAUAUGUAAACGCACUAGUAACUUGGUGUUAUAAAACAUAUUGUUGUGUGUGAUUCGGUGAGUGAGUGCAAGCAAGCAUUGUAUCAAAGUUUAUCCGUUCCUUUUAUCCAAAGAAGGAUAAAAGCGAUAUCUUUGGGCCCCUCGAUGAUUUAGUGAUGACAAACGUAAAUGCUCGGCCGGGCUAGGGCUAAUUUGAUUUGUUCAAUUAGUCAGUCGUCAUAAAUCGGGAAUCGAGAUAUAGUACAAAGAGAAUGAUUUGAAAUCAUAUCUCAUAUGAUAUCUAGAAUGGAGGAAUAUAUGAUCCCUUAUCUAAAGGACACGCGUAUCUGAUAGGAUCAGAGUUGACAGCGGCUUUGGAAAGCUACGAUUGCAGAUCAGGAUCUGAAGUCAUACGCAUAAUAGUUAUUAGACUUAUCCAAGUGGGAGACUGUUGGAUUAGUGUCUAAGUCCAUAACUAUUUUGGUAUGUACUUGACCCGAUGGUGCAUGGUCCUUUUGGGUUGCCUUCACCAAAGCAACUUGAUAGGAUGAAUUAUGGAGAGAAAGGAUUAAAUAUGAUUUAUUAAUAUAUUAUGAGAAUAAUAUAUUAAAGGAGAAAUCAUAUUGUUUAAUUAAUAUUAGUCAAUAAUUAAUUGGUAAUUAGUUUUGUGACUAAAAGAGAUUAAUUAAACUUAAGGGACUGGAAUUGUAAUUAUAAGAUAAUUGCAAAUUGGGCUAUGGAUUGCCAUAUAUUGAGGAGUGGACGAAUUCUAUGGGGAAGCCCAUAAGAAGUCGUCCAAGGCCUUAAGGAAAGGGAUCCAUGGGUUGCUUAGGGCUUAAGCAUCCAAAUUAGGGUUUCCUUGUUAGAUAACCUUAAUGGCCUCACUAUAUAAAGAACCCUUAAGGCUCAAAAAACGUGGGGAACUUCUUCUAGGGUUAGAACACGUUUUGGGCAGCCUCCAUCCUCUUUCCUCUUCAUCCUCUUACUUAUGGUGUUUGUGAACCAUUAGAGGAGUGACAUUUGUGACUCUAAGCUUUCUAAAGUCAAUACAAGGAGGAAUUGGGAUUGUUAUUGCUACAUAACAAUCAAGGUAAUAUCUUAAACCUAUUAUCAUGUUAAUAUGAUUACUUGAAUGCUAGAAUUAGGGUUUAUAGUCUUGGAUAGAUUGCAUGUACAAUAGAGAAACCUAGAUCCAAGCAUUAGGGUUUGUAUGAGCACAUAGGAUGUUCUUAUGACCAAAACCCACCACUUAAAUGUAAAGGAGAAAAUGUUAAGUCUCCAAUUGAUCGUUCCUUUAUUGGGUAAUAACUUCAUCAGUUACACCUUAGGGGAAAGAAAUUAAAACCACACAAGAUUAGUCUCUCAAGUUAUAGAACAAUGUCAUAUCCAUCAUACUACACAACUUAAUGUCUAGGGACUUGAUACGUUACUAUGGCAAACAUUAUGGUACUUAAUAUAAUUGUACCUAACAAGUGGUUAGCGUUACAAAAUAGUCCUAAGGCCACACAAAUGGGUUAUAUUCUAACAUUCUCCCACUUGGCCGAGUGACUAUUUGUAUACAUGUUUUAUUGUCUUGGCCAAGUUAUUUUCAUCUUGUUUCAUAUUAAAACAAAAAGAAGAAAAGUGCAGCCUAAUAUGUCGUUUUUAGACAUGGGACCCCAACCUAUCAUGCCUUAGUGUUUCAUAUGAAACUUACGAUUAAUUUAAGCCAAAUGACAUAAAAUUUAAGUGGUAAUGCAAUACAUUUGUCUACAUAAAAAAUAAGUGUGUACAAGUUAUUAAUAUAGACAAAUUGCAUAUUAUGGAGGGAGAAUAAUCAAGUACUUGAAUAAUUAAAAAUUAGAAGUUUCAUUGAAUUACUAUGCUAGAAUUACAUAAUACUAGGUCUACCCAUAAACCUAUAUUGAAGACUUGUUCAAAUACGUGAGUGGUAGACCUUUUUUUGGUUAUCGAAUCCGCUAGCAUAUUAUCAUUGUUAAUGUGUUCGAUACAAAAAUUAUAUCCCUCAUUUGCUCUUAAACGAACAAGUAUUUUCUAUCGAGGUAAAGCCUCAUUCCAUUAUGAUUAGUUCUAGGAAAUAAUUACAGAGGAAAAAUUAUGGCAAUAAAUUUUCUUUUCAUGACCUUAAAAUGGAAUUUACGAUCAUGAGUCAUGAGAUUUAAUUUCUCAGCAAAUUCCGUGGCAAGUUUCAUAAUCUAUGAAAACAAAUUAUGCCAUCAUAGUUGAUAUGGUUGUCAAUUUUUAUUUAUGACUCUCUGAAAAUAUUGGCCGACUGAUAGCAUAAAGAUGUAUCCCCAUAACAACUACUAUCUUUGCAUUUUGCAAAGUCAUAGUCAAAAAUCAUACCACUUACACGUUAUUACCUUUUUUUUUCAAACAAGUUCCUAAUUAUUAGUCUCACACAACUUUCUUGGCAACAUUCUAAUAACCUAGACCAUGAUAUAAUUGGUAAUGCCUUAGACCGGAGGGUAUGGGUGGGGAGUUUCCCUCACUUUUUGUAGGCCAUACCACCUUUCCCUCACUUUUCUUUCUCUCACCUAAAACCAUGGAAUAGGUGGGAAGCUCCCCUCACUAUUUUUUUAUUCUUUUAAAUAAAUAUAUUUCAAACAUAUAUUAUACUCAUUUUGUAGGGAAUUAAAAACUAUGAAUUUUGAUAUAUUUUUUUAGUAGGUAUAUAAUCUUAUAAAUAUUAAAAAAGAUUAAAAAAAACUGCCCAAUAGAAUGAGGAGAGAGAGUGCGGCACCCCUCCCCCCACCUCUUUCCCGCGGGUUGCUCCCUUCUCCCAAGGGAUGGUGUUCCAGUGAGACGGAAGCUUCCUGCUCCCUCUCCCCGUGAUGAUACCGUCCAACCUUAACAUGCCAAUAACUAGACAUUAGGACGAGCACAAACUUGUCAUAGUUAAUCUUCCAACCACAUGAUCAUAUCAUAUUAACUUGAUUUUAUCUUUUUCUACCUCUGUUUUUAGGUAUUGAAAUGAACUGAAAACAUUUCCCUUGGCUACAUAACCAAUGAAGCGAAGCAUUGUUGCAUGUUAUCUCGACUUGAUACACACUCGAUAGAUCCCUUACAUGAUAAUCAUAUUUGAUGCAUUCAUAUGCCUAUAACAUAGAAGGCCUCAACAUGAUCUUUUAUAUCGAGUUGAAGUGAUAACAAGUGAUUUUAUUCAUUCAACAUAUCAAUAAGAUUAAUCGUCAAGCGAAUGUCAUCUAUAUAUUAUACGAGUAUGACAAAUUUCCUCCCACUGAUCUUGAGCCAUAUGCAUUGACCGACUUGGUUCUUAAUGAAGUCGUUACAAUUCAUCACUUCGUUGAACGUUAGAUACCUUUGACAUGAAGCCUAAUUUAGCAUAUGUAUUUAGAUACUAGCUACAAAAAAAAUGUUUACCAUCUAUUUGAUGUAGCUCGAGAACAAAAUUAGCUACAAAGGCUAUUAAAAUCUUAAGGAAGUCAUUUAGAGAAACAAGUGAGAGUGUUUCUGGGUAAUAAAUACCAUCAUGUUUGUGAAUACCCUUUUAGUGACCAAUCAAGCUUUAUGUUGUUCGAUGUUAAUCAUUAGGGUCCAAUUUGACCUUAAAGACCUACUUACAUUCUAUGGGUUUAAACCCUGUGAUAGUUCGAUAAUUUCCUAAAAACCAUUAUUUUACAUUGAAUUACAACUUCAUUCGACUUAGUUAACUAAUCACAAGUUAUGGCAUCACUAUUCCUCACAGAUUCAUUUCCUUCCCUAUGUCAAGAUCGACCUCAUGUUAAAAAUAUAGGCCUCCUACAUCAUAGAAAAUAUAUUAUAUGCUAUUGAAUUUCAUGAGUCUCAAUGUCAACAAAUUAAUUGGGACCAUUUUUGUGGUGUUUCAUUUGCCCAUAUAUUUGAAGAGUAUUUCUUAUGAGGCAAAAUAUGUUGACUUGAAUCUCCAAAUGUGCUAAGUGUAAUGUACAUUUGAAAUAUAGGUGCCACUUUGUAACACUGAAAAUUUUAAAAUUUAUUUUUCACAAUUUAUAAAAACAUUUCUCUCUUAAUUUCAAUAAACAUCAAAUUUCAAAUUCCAAUAUGUAUCAUACAAAUCCCAAGAUCACAUAAUUAUAUCAAAUUCCUCUACGUGUGUACAGAUCAAGUCGGCGCCUUCCCACGGUCAUCGCUAGUACCUGAAACAACAACACUAACACUGUAAGCACGAAGCUUAGUGAGUUCCCCAAAAUACCACUCAUAAACACAUAAUAGCCACUCGAGGCUAUAACUCUAUGGGUCCGUGCACCCAAACUCUGUGAACCCUCAGGUUCUGGCUCUAGGAACCUUCCGGUUCCAACUCUAUAAGCAUGCACAACAUAAAUCACAUAGACAUCAUGCAGUACAACACAUAGCAUACACAUAACAUACACAUACUCUAUCACAUGACUCUGGUUACCUACUCAAGGUAAAGUAUAGUGAGAAGACUCACCUCGCGUGUCUCAGUAUCUCACGAUCCCUGGAAAUCCCUCGUACUCGAUCCUCCGAGCUCUAAUCCUCCUAUAACAUCACAAGACUCUAAUUAACACUUUUAUCUCUAAGGUUGACUAUCCCUAAGAAGUCAACACAGGUCAACGGUCAACGGUCAACUGUCAACUUUGACCGGACUCGGCGAGUGCACGCGGCAACUCGGCGAGUCUAGACGUUCUCACCAACUCUCUAGGAUUCCCUUUCUACACGUCGAGUACUCCCCCUGACUCGACGAGUUCCACUUGGAAGAAUCGUGGGACCACUCCGACUCAACUCGCCGAGUCUCAAGAACGACUCGGCGAGUCCCAGCUCGACUCAGACCACAUGACAAUCCUCUCUAACUCGC